rnacentral:lncRNA from 1 species
GUUCUUGGCGGCGUCGCCGAUGAGCCUCUCGGUGUCGGUGAAGGCCACGUACGACGGCGUGGUGCGGUUGCCCUGGUCGUUGGCGAUGAUCUCCACCCUGUCAUGCUGCCACACGCCGACGCACGAGUAGGUCGUGCCGAGGUCGAUGCCGAUCGCAGGGCCCUCUCCCUUGUUGCCCGCCAUCUUUCUUCUCUUCCGAUCAAAUCAAAUCAAGCUCUCCGCUGAUGAACGAUCGAGUUGUGUUGUUGCUCUUCUGAUUCGCUCGCGCUGGGACGAUUUUGCUCUGUUUUUUUUCGCUUCGAUCUCUCGACUUUGGUGGGGGAGAAAGGCAAAGGGAGGGGAUUUGCUUAUAUAGGAGCAGAGCGGCGCGGCGUUCACGAAUGUUCGAGUAGGGGCGUGAUGUGGGUGGCGCGAAUAGGCGGAGGCGGUUUCGGCUCGGGGCCGGGCUUAAGGCUUGUGGAGGGUUCGGGUGUUGUGGCGCGCGCACGGGACGUCUCCAGAACGGUGCGGGGGGAUGGUGAUCUCUCUCGGUUCGCUCGCAGGUUUCGUGCGGCGGGUGGUUGGUGGGUUGGGUGCGACGACGUGAGAUCUUCUUUUGGUUUCCUUUGGGAGGUUGGUCCGUCCGGCUCGACCGCUCGAGCGGGUUCCCGCGCCAAGUGGAAAACGCUGGAGUUAUGUAUAGCGUCUGUGCCUUCUUGGAGACGGCUUUUGCUUUUUUUUUUUUCCUUUUUCUCUUACGUUUCGCCACCUGGAACGUAUAGAAAGAGAUGGUAGAUGGAAGGAGCCUUGUACGAGCCUGUUUGAGGAAUUUUUUUCAUUUUUAAUUUUAAUUUUUUUAAUAUUUAUAGAAAUAUUAUACCAUCCAAAAUAUUUACACAAUGGCCCCUGCCGUCCAAGUGGAGGGCUGCAAGGUGUGCGCAUUUUGCACUUAGGUCCUUUGCCGCCCUCUACAAAGGCUGCAAGGGAGUAAAUGCAAUUUUCGCCCUACCAAAAAUAUAUUUUCUAGUUUUUUUUUUCAACUUGUCCGUCCCUCGCGUCACCCUGCCACUCUCAGAGAGGGCGGUAGGGUCUAUUUCUGUAAAUAUUUUCGUCGGUACAAUAUUUCUGUAAAUAUUAAAAAAUAAAAAAUGAAAAAUGGAAAAAAAAUUCCCUCUGUUUGCGCAGGUGCUAUGCGUGCCGGGCCAGUCCGGUGUUCGUGCAGAGGCUCGACAGUGGUUAGCCGUUGGGCUGUGCCUGUGGCAGGCUGACAGCAUCACCUAUGUAGGCCCUUAGCUGUAGUUCAUGGGCCGGAACACGGUAGCAUAUGGCCAUGGGACCAUGCAUAUCGUCACUUAGGGCAGGCCUAAAUUAGGCUUGUCAAAUUUUUUUGCAACCUUAACAAUAAUUGUGUAUGUUUUUGACAUGCCUAUAUAACAUAGGCCAUUUUAAUAGCCAAAUUAGUUUAAUUUGGCUUCAAUCCAAACACAUGUUGGCCUUACCAAAAACAUUGGUCACAAAACAAACUGGCCCUUAGUCUCUCUAUUUGUCGGUCAGUCCUAUUUUCGUCCCUUAACUACAAAACCGAAUACGAUCCAUCCCCCAACUUACGAAAACCGGGCAAACGAGGUCCCUCGGUGGUAUGAAGGGCGGUUUUGGCCGAUGAGACGCCUACGUAGCUCCUUUGACUAUGUCUUCGUCCCACGUGGCAUCCACGUAUCGCUUACAUGGCAAUUUUAUCCCAAAAAAUAAUAAAAAUCGUGGGACCAUAUAUCAGCUACACAAAAAAUAAUUCCUCUCUCUCCGAGCCGGAGCAGGCGACGACUGGGGCGGAGCGGCUGACCGGCUGAGCGGGGUGGGACAGGGCGGGGCAGGCCGCAGCUAGAGCAGGCCGGCAGAGCGGCGUCGGCCGGAGCAGGCGAGGGGCAAGGCGGCGCUCCACGCGGCUCCAGCAGGCGGCGGCCGCGGCACAGACGAGGGGCAAGGCGACGGAGGACGACAACAACAACGCCGGCGCCGCAGGCGAGAGGUUGGCCGUGGUGGCGCCCAUCCUCGCCGCCGACGCGGCCCUCCAAGCUGCCGAUGUCCUCGUCAUCGUCGUCUUUCACGACGGACCCACUGGCGGAGUUCCUCUGCUCAAUCUCCGGCACGCUCGCCUUCUUCCCGCCGGCUGUCACCGUCGACCUCUCCGCGCUCCCCUCCGCCUCCUCCCCACCUUGCCGAGGUUGCCGCCCACCGUCGGUUCGCUCCGCCACCUCCCGCCUCGCUCGCCUGCUCCGUCAUUCUCCUCGCCGCCCACCCGCCCUUCCCUUUCGUGCAGAUCCAGGCCGACGCCCUCUCUGCUGCCGUCCCUCUUCUCGCCGCCGCCCCUCUGCUCUGUCGCCGCCGGCCACACGCCUUGUGGAGCUCGAGGCAGGUGUUGCGCUCUCGGUCGCGGAGAGGACACCCCCCGUGAAGUCCUCUAGCGUGCAUGGGUGCGCGAUGUGCAGCGCGGAGGGGACGCGCUUGUGAAGUCCUCCCGCGUGUUCAAGAGCUACUAGCGGCGAGCGGCGGCCUGAGGAGAUAACCCGCCACAGUUGCCGCGCUCGCCGGCGACCUCCUUCUCUUCCUCCUCCUUCGGCUACCUCUGCCGCCGCUGUUCCGCCGGCAUGCUUCGGCCGCCGUCGUCAUCAGAGACGGUGGGGACUGGGAUGACGACGACAACGAUGGCGGCGAUGGCUGUGAGGUGGCGCUGCGGUGCGAUGAGGAAGAGGAGGGAGAGCCAAGAGGGAAGAGGAUGACAUGUGGGGCCCACCCACCAUAUUUAUUUUGUUGUGUAGCUGAUAUCUGGGCCCAUGGCUUUUAUUAUUUUUCCGAUAUAUAAUUGCCAUGUAAGUGUCAUGUCAAUGCUAUAGGAUGAAGACCUAGUUAAACUAGUUAAACUAGCCACGUAGACGUCAUGUCAGCCAAAACCGCUAUCUAAACCGUACUAGUUUUGUAAGUUAGAAAAUACGUUUUAGUUUUGUAAGUUGGAAAAUAAGUUGUAUCUAAUUUUACGGUUCAGGAACGAGUUUUGUAAGUUGGAAAAUAAGUUGUAUCUAAUUUUACGGUUCAGGAACGAAAAUCAUACUGACGACAAAUUGAGGGAUAAAGUGAACUUAUUCCUAUCCUUACCCAUGUGAUUCAUGAUUGAACACAUCAUACAUCAAACAUGGCCAUUUUUUCUCGUUUGGACUUUGGAGUACAGACCACAACCAACGAGAUCACAGUUUUAUUCCAUAUAUCAACAGAUCAGUGGAGAACAGUUCACAUUAUUGAACAUACACGGCUAAAAUCCCCCAACCGAGCAGGCGCAUGGCCGCUACGCGCGGACGUGGCUGCCCAUGCGCACGAUGAUCCCGUCGAUGUCCCUGACGUACCCGACCUUCUGGCCCCAGCUCUUCUGCUCCGGCGGGCUCACCGGCACGGCGCCGCUGUCCACGGCCCGCCGGUACGCCGCGUCGACGUCCGCGUAGUCGAAGCAGAUCUCCACGGGCCCCCGCUCGCCGGCCGAGUCCGGCAGCUGCACCGCGCCCGUCAGCGCGUCCGUCUCCCUCUGGUGCAGCGGCGUGAACGCGAUCGUCGUCGUCCCGCUCUCCAGCUCCGCCCACCUUAUAAUUCAUUACACGUCACACGCAUCAGGAAGUACUUUCAAGCAGCCAGUUAAAAAUUUAAGACGGGGAAAAAAAAUAUUAACCGAGGAUGGUUUACUUGUGGGAUUGGUCGAGGCGGCGGACGGUGUAGCCGAACGCGGCGGAGUAGAAGGCGGCCGACUUGGCGACGUCCUUGACGUAGACGACGGUGUAGGCGAACGCCGGGCUCACGGCGCCUUCGGAGGCCAUGACACUCGCCUGCUGAGGUUUGUCACGUACGGCCUGAAGACGACGCUUGUGUUGUGCAGUGCAGUGUUCGGUCUUUCCUGGAGCCCACGAGCUCCCAUUUGUGCGUGCGGGCGCAGCCGCCAGAGUCGGCAGACCGGGGAGGUGGCGCGCAUGCACGCGGUGACCACUCCUCCUGCCUCCACGUACGUUUGCCUCUGGCUUUCCCUGCUCAUUGCUCAUCGUCAUCGUCAUCGGUGAGGAUGUCUCCGGCCGGUUCGGGCCGAGCAAGCAGCAGGUUGCACGGCCCACACAUGUAAGGCCUGUCACGUAUGGGCUCGGAGAACGGUUUCUUUAGCAGGCCGAAUAUCCAGGCCCUUUUUCACUUUUUGCCAAACACUCAACUGGGCCGCAGCAUCCUCAACUGCAGCUGCAAGGGUGAACAUCUGACCUAGCUAGAUAGAUGCUGCCAUAGUGCCAUGGCAUAUUGGCAUGGAGUCGACGGGAUGAGGUCAAGAUAGUGGACGUCGUUGGCUCGUUGCAAGUUGCAACUGGCCAAUCGUGCUAUAGAAAUCGGUGCUGAUUGGGCGGUAUAUCCGGUUGGAUCGCUCCUAACUCCGAAAUUUUGUUAGGUAUGUCACGUCGUUUCCGCAACUAGUUCAUCGUCCUGCCGAUAUAUCUGGCACUAAGUUUGGACUUUGGGGCUAUGUACGUAAGCAGCAAACUCUAUCUUCAAAGCAUCCCAGCACACGCCAAUAGCAGGCAUUAUAUGUGACUCCAGAGCGAACCGCCAAGGCACAGUUUGUAAAGAUUUGACCAGACCGAAGUCGUUAUAAUACUCCCUCCGUUUCACAAUGUAAGUCUAGCAUUUCCCACAUUUAUAUUGAUGUUAAUGAAUCUAAAUAUAUAUAUCUAUCUAAAUUCAUUAACAUAAAUAUGAAUAUGAGAAAUGCUAGAAUAACUUACAUUGUGAAACGGAGAAAGUACAUUUAAAGUUCACCCCCGUAGUUUUCAUGACCUGUACAUGCUCCGUUCAAUUUUGGCAGAAGUUGUGGAACGUACAGCCAUAUAUCUAAUUAUUAUUACUCCGUAAGGAGACUAACUAAGGAGAUACAUGGUGGAUUAAUAUGACACACUAUCUAAGCUUCUAAAUGGUGUUAUUUUUUAAAAACACUUAUAUAUAUAUAUAUGAAUUUUUAAAAAACUAUUAUGUGUUCAUUUUUCAACUUUGUAUUACUUAGUUCAUUCAUUUGUACCUUAAUAGUAAUCACAAAAUCACUCAACCAUUCAUCUAUUCAGCAAAUAAAAACAUAGUGCAAAAGGGCAUGAUCGAUCAGAUGGUGACACACACAGUAAGAUGUAGCUAGAGCGCCAUUUUCAAUCUGCUAAAUCAAUUCAGUUGGAGAGCGCAAGAACCGAUCGAGUAGUGAUCAACUGAUCAUUAAACGAUUUCUUAUAUAUAACGUUAUGAGAUCAGGGAUUAGCGACAGUUCGAUUUAUAGUUUAGGGUGUGCGUGCAUCUCUCAUGUAUUUUUUUUCUAAAGAAAAUAUUAAGACUAGGGAGAGAAGAAAUGUAGAGAGUGUCUUCUGAAUAUCUUUUUUAAAAAAGAACUAAAGUGAAGAUAGGGCAUGAUAGGGAGGCAUGUGUAAACGAUAUAUUAACGUGACAGCAUAGAAUUUUCAUCCGGUUUAGGUUCUAUAUUCUCAUUGAAAUCCUUCAAAAAAAUGUCCCUUUGCGUUAGAGAAAGAAUAUCUGGUCGUUCAUUUUAUCGUCACAAUUAUAAGCUGUUGAGUCCUUGGUGGCUUGGCCAUCAUGUAUAGCAGAUCAUACACCAUAGUAUCGCCGGGGGACAUUAUUACUCUUCCCACCCAUGCACGUAAUUAAAAUAAAUGAUAACCUAAUUUUGUGCGCUAUAUCAUGAUCAUGCGACUUAUAAGUCGAAGCUAUAAAAAUGCCUUCCAAGCUUGUCCUUAUAAGUGGAAGAUCACGGAUAUUAUCUCCGUUAUAAAAUAUAGAAGAUUUUAUCUAUAUAAGUAAGAUUAAAUGGGUAAAAUCUCUUAUAUUUUAUAACGUGGUAUAUAAUUAAUUGUCUGUACUUUAUACGUCACACAUAAUGCAAUGGUUAAAAACUCUAAUAUUAUUACUCCACACGAAUGUGCGCGUACAUUGCUUAGCUAGUACUCACAUCUUUAUUCCCAGUUAUAACAUGCUAAGGCUACAUUUUAUAGCCUUGAUUAUUCAUCCACUGCACGCUGAAACAUCCACAGACACAUAAUACGUUGAACAUUAAUACGUACGUACGUGAUGUGUUUGCAACUUUUGCAUGCGCACAUCACCAUGUACGUGCAACUAACCAUGGAUGCUUAGCGGUGCACAACGAUCUUGGUGUACUUGGUCAUGUCAGUGGUGGCGCUGCGUGCGCUGGUGGCGAGCGGGAAGUAGAAGGGAUAGAUCUCGUAGCGCACCCUGCAGCUACUGUAGUUAAUCUGACAUCCCUGUUGUGCGCCGCAGUAUUGACCGAACCUUGACACCGCCGUUGACAGACACUGUGCGCAAGCCAGCGGUGACAAGUCCUGUGUGCACUGUGCCAGCCCGUAGAUGUUGAUGAACGGCGUGUACUGAUCCUUCGUCCUACCCAGCCCACCACUCCCAGCCUGUGAUGCCUGCGACGUUGCCUUGCCCAUAACCUUCCCUACCGCCUUCUGGAACGCCUUGCCGUUAUCCAUCGCCUGCACGUUCACAAGAAUCACCCCGGCAUCUGUGUCCGUCUGCCCGAUGAAGUUCUCGUUCUCGAACCGCAUGAAGCAGUAGUCAUACCUGCACGUAGAAUAAUUAUAGUUUUGAAGUUUAUCAGUCGCCUGAAUUCAUUGUUUUUUCGUAUGUUUGUGGUCAUCACACUUGGCAUAUAUACCAUAUUCUUGAGUCGGAUUGGUAGUUGCAGCUGGUGAGGAUCUGGUUGGCGGCGGAGGCGAGGCAGGCCUGGCAGUCGCUGGUGGAGACGUCGCCGCGGCAUUGCGCGAGACCGUAGAUGACGUUGUUGGCUUUCCCGGCGGAGGACGUGGCGAAGCCGCCGCCGGUGGAGCCCUUGGCGACGAGGUCGGUGAGGACGGAGUUGAUGCUUGCCACGGCCUUGCUGUUGCCGGCCAAGCUGUUCCCUGAACAGUAGCUGCCAAUGGAGUCCAUGGCCAUGCUCAGUGGGAGCAAGGCAAAUGACAUGAGCACCAAGCAACGGCAAGCUUUGCUACUGAAUGCCAUGGCUAUGAUCACUCAAGCUCACUCUCACUCUCACUGUCACUGCUGUGUAUCACACCUAGCUAGUUAGAAGUGUGUGUGGGGGGCUUGGGUUCACUGGGGAGGAAUGGUUGGAUCUUAUAAAGAUGAGUUGGAUAUGGGUUAGGAGCGAUGUGAUUGCAGCCUUUUUUUGACUCUUUAAUUGGUUGCAUGCAAUGGUUGAUGUUGACGGUCGUAUAUGGAGACUACUACGAGCUUAACUAUUGCUGAGUCGGACAUGGCAAUGUCGAUGCACUAGUUUCUGCAGAUAUUGCGAGCCAGCUGGCUGAUUGGCUGCUUGCUACGAGUCGUUGACUAGUUAUAUUUGACUCGGUUAAUUAGGACGUUAUCCACAACGACUAACAGGGACUGUAUACUGUGAAGCAAACGAAAAUAUGUACCAAGCUUAGGAUGCAAUUAUGCAAAACUAAUUGUUAAUCCAAACUGGCUAGGAUGUACAGGCCAUGUUUUUUAAUCCACUAGCAAAAUAUCUAUGUUAUAUCAUCUUCGUUUUAUAUUAUAAUUUAUUUUGAUAUUUUUUCUAAUCAAUUAUUUUAGCUUAAUCAAGUUUAUAGAAAAAAAAUAUAGCAACAUAGAUAACACAAAACAAACAUAUUUUCAAAAUAAAUUUAAUGUAAUAUUUAACGAAACUAGUUUAGUGUUGUUUUGUUGCUAAAAUUUUCUACAAACCGAUCAAAUCUAAAAAAGUUUGACCAGAAUAAGCAAAAGCCUUGUGUAUCUUUUGUAUUAAGAGAGGUGAAAUUUUUAAACUUUACAAACUUUAACUAUAAGGAAAAAAAGAAAAACAAGGGAACACAAAAGGCGUGGGUCUACAUCUCGCGACAAGUCUGGCGACUGAUCAGCGGACAACGCCUCAAAUGGGCAGGUCAGCUGCGCGCUAGACUGUUGCUACCUCCGCGGCCACGCUUGCGCUACUUCCUCCCAUAAUUUCCUUUCAUAGUUGAACACCCAAUUGUUUCAUUCCUUCCAAAUUAUCCAGGCUACUAGGGUGACAAAUGGUGUCGAAGCUCAGUUUGUUUGCUUUGUCAACUUUCUUUCUAGCAUCACACCACCACUCGAAGAAAACACUAUUGGAAGGGAAGCAAAGGGCUUGCAGGAUGAUGGCGAGGACAUGCCACCAAAGCUGUUUGGAUCUGGGGAAGCGGACAAGGCCUUGCAAAUAUUUGGACUGCCGCUCUCGACCCAAAAGCUGACGACCACAGCACUGCAACCGCUGGUGGACUAGGUUGCACGUCGGUUGCCAUAUUCGAAGGCCGAACAGCUGCAACCUAUAACAUGAAACGAAGGGAGUAGUACCUAGAAGGUUCAUUUGUAAAAUAUGUCUUGGAGGGCUUAUGUUAUGAAAAUUAAACUCCAAGGUUGACAAAACCAUUCAACAUUAACUAAAACUAAACAACAUUAAUCUGAACUCAACCAUAGUUAACCAACAACAAACUCUGCUCAUCGAUCGACUCCAGCAAUUGCAUUGCCCUCUGGUGCAGCAGAGUGUGAACGUGAUCGCUGUCGCCCCGCUCUCCAGGUUCUUGCUCCGACCACCUCAAUGACACGAAUGGUUGUUGACGGUCCUUAAGUAUCAAAUAUGACUGUCAAAUCCUCAAUAAGAAGCCGGAGCCCUUCGACCAACAACUAUAUCCACUACACUGACAGUUGCAUAAACAUUCAACUGUGUCAACAACUAUAUCCACUACACCGACAGUUGCAUAAAUAUUCAACUGUGUCAGACAUCGGUUAGUACCCCUUCUUCCUUAUUAGGGUGAUCGGCUAAGUUCAAUUAAGUAGAUUAAAGAUCUACAUAUUUAUAUUGCUAUCUACUCCUUUUGUACUAAACAAACAAAUCUAGUACUAGGAUGUGUCUUAUUAUGAGACGGAGGGAGUACCGGUCAAUUUGCUCAUCAGCGAGGGCGGUUGGGGCCGAGCAGGCAAACCGGUUGGGCCGUCAAACACAUAUCUGAGGCCCGUCGCGUCUGGGCUCAGAGGACGGUUUGUUUAGCAGGCCAUCCAGGCCCUUUUUGCCAAACACUCAACUGGGCUACUGCAUCACUGCUUGUCCUCACCUGCAGGCUGCAGCUGCAAGGUGUGUGAAACACGGACAAACACGUGCGGCCUAACAUAGAUGCGGCCAUGGGGGUCGACGGGAUCAGAUCGUACGUGCUAGUGGACAGCCAGCGUUGCUAUUGACCAAUCGUGAUAUAGAAACAGGGGCUGCUUAGGCGGUAUAUCCGGUUGAAUCGCCCCUAACUCUCUGAAUCUUUUGGUCUUUUGGUUACGUAUAUAUGUCACGUCGUCUCUGCAACUAGCUCGUCGUGCGGCCCAUAUAUCUGGCACGAGUUUUGGAGUUCACGAUAUAUGUGAACUCUCUCUUUCGAAGCAUCGACCCCCCUUUCAGAGUUUUCGACGUUGAUUUGGACCAUCGAUGCAACUCAUGCCAAUAGCAGAUGCUCUAUCACUGCUACUACAGAAAACCGGAUUGGUGCUGGUUGGGGUCCGGUCUUAGGUGACAGAUAACCCAAUCGGCACACAUAGUAGGCACUAGGCAGCACCCAUAUAUAUGUGGCUCCUUUCUUUCUUUUCUUGUUUGAGAAUUUCAGCCAUAUACACUCUUCCCAUCAACCCAUCCACAUAAUUAAAAAUUGGUAACCUUUUAAUUUCGUGAACUAUGUCAUGAUCAUAUGACUUACAAGUCGCAGCUAUAAAAAAUUAAAAAUGCCUUCCAAGCUGGUCCUAACAAGUUGAAGAUCAAUUUUCAGUAGCACAUAAUAUAUAAGUUUAACACUUCGAUAAUAUUACUGCUCCACACAAACGUGUGUACAUUGCUUUGCUAGUACACAUUUUAUUCCCGGUUAUAGUAUGCUAAUAAGGCUACACUUUAUAGCCUUAUAUUAUUCAUGAACCGCAUGCUAAUCAAACGUCUCCACACACAUUGUACUAUAGUUUAUACUUUAGUAUGUGAUGUGUAUGCGUACAAGCAUGCAUGCACAUCACCAUGUAUGUGUAGGUAGUUCUUAGUGGUGCACGAUGGUCUUGGUAUACUUUGUCAUGUCGGUAGUGGCGGUGCUACUGGUGGCGAGCGGAAAAUAGAAGGGGUAAAUUUCGUAGCGCACCAUGCAGCUACUGUAGAGUAUCCGGCAUCCCUGUUGCGCGCCGCAAUAUUGGUCGAACCUGGACACCGCCGUUGAUAGGCAUUGUGCACAUGUCAGCGGCGAUAGGUCCCGCGUGCACUGUGCGAACCCGUAGAUAUUGAUGAAUGGCGUGUAUUGGUCCUUCACCCUUCCCAGCCCGCCGCUUCCCGCCUGUGACACCUGUGCCGUCGCCUUGCUCAUCACCUUCCCCACCGCCUUCUGGAAUGCCUUGGCGUUGUCCAUCGCCUGCACGUUCUCCAUGAUCACCCCGUUGUCCGUGUCAGCCUGCCCGAAGAAAUUCUCGUUCUCGAACCGCAUGAAGCAGUAGUCAUACCUGCACAUAAUACAAUUAUUACAGUUUUAAUUUGCUAUCUUUCGUAUGUUCGUGGUCAUCACACUUGGCAAGUUGGCAUAUAAUAUACCAUAUUCUGGAGUCGGAUUGGUAGUUGCAGCUGGUGAGGAUCUGGUUGGCGGCGGAGGCGAGGCAGGCCUGGCAGUCGCUGGUGGAGACGUCGCCGCGGCAUUGCACGAGACCGUAGAUGACGUUGUUGCCUUUCCCGGCGGUGGACGUGGCGAAGCCGACACCGGUGGAGCCCUUGGUGACGAGGUCGGUGAGGACGGAGUUGAUGCUGGCCACGGCCUUGCUGCUGCCGGCCAAGCUGUUCCCGGAGCAGUAGCUGCCAAGGGGAUCCAUGGCCAUGCUGAGUGGGAGCAAGGCAAAGGAGACGAGUAGCAAACAACGGCAAGCUUUGCUACUGAUGAUUGCCAUGGCUGUCACUAUAGCUCGAUCUCACAGUCUCAAUGCUGUGUGUUUCACACCCUUAGAUAGUUGAUCAAGUGUGUGUAACUUGGGUUCUCUCGGGAGGAAUGGUUGGAGCUUAUAUAGAUGAGUUGGAUGGGUUAGGAGUGAUGUGAUUGCAGCCAUUUUUUGACUGUUUAAUUGGCUGCAUGCAUGCAUGCAAUGGCAGGCAGAUGUUGAUGGUAGUGUGAGAGUAUGAGACUAUGGGCUUAACCUAGACGUAGAAAUUACUUUCCCAAUGUCCAUGCACUAGGCAGUUUCUCAUGCAGAUAUUGCGAGCUAGCUGGCUGCUUGCGAUGACUCGUUGACUGUAUCUUUGAUUCGGUUAAUUAGGCCAGUCACAAUGGGGGUUUCACUGGUGUGUCAUGCACAUUUAAUAGGGGUAAGACUGAAUAAAAAAUGAUUAUUUGCAUGAAAUGGGGAUGAGAGAGAAGGAAAGAGUUUCAUCCUGGUGAAACUCGUCAGCGUCGUUUCCAAGUCCUCGGUAACAGAGUGAAACCCCCGUUGAGGCCGAUUCGUUUCAUUCACCGGAUCUCUUGCGUCCGCCUCCGCCGUGCGACCUCCGCAUUCUCCCGCGCCGCGCCGGAUUUUGGGUACAAAUGAUCCCAGCAACUUGUAUCAAUUAAAUGCUUUGCUUAGUCUUGGAAACGUCAAAGUGAAACCCCUCCACUGUGGGGAUUGUUUCAUAAAAGAUUUCAUUUGAGAGAAGAUGGUAUAAUAUUUUGGGUAGCCGUGCAAUGACACUAGCCAUUGUGACUGGCCUUAGGACGUUAUCCACAACGACUAACAUAGGCUGCUGAAGCAUGCAAACCAAAAUAUGUAUACCAAGCAAGCAUGCAAAUAUUCAAAAGUAAUUGUUAAUCUAUACAUGCUUGUAUUUUUUUUCAAAUAAUCUCAUACAUGAUUUGAUGAUUGUAAAUUUCCUGCAUCUAAAUAUAUUUAAUUAUAGAAAAAAGUACGAACUACCCCCAAACUAUUACAGCAGUACCCAACGAGGUCCGCCUCCGUCGCUGGUCGCCCGGUCCGCCUUCGCCAACCCAUCCCUAAAUUGCUUCAGGCCAAGCACGCUUAACCUCAAAGUUCUUUAGAGAUCGGCUUCCGGAAAAGAAGUUGCAACUUGUUGAUAUGAGUAUUCUAUUAAUCCUAUUAAACCCUGGACCGGGAUGUCACAUCCACCUUCGCCACCCGCCGCCCAGACGAGGUCCACCUCCACUGCCGGCUGCUGGUCCGAGCGCAUGUGCAAGAGAGAGUUGGGGGGACUGAAGGGAUUGGGUUGAGGGUUAAGUGGCCCAGCGAGUUUUUUUUAUUUUGUUUUGCUGACUGGAUUGCCACGUUAGCGCCACGUGUGUAAUUUAUAUAUAAUCAAAACCACUCAAAACAGUGUUAGGGGGUUAUUUGUUCGGUUUCAAUAAUCGAGGGUGUAAAAUGUCCGGUUUUCGAGUUCAGGGGUGUAAUUCGGUCAACCACGAUAGUAGGGGUAAUUUGUACUUUUUCCUUAUUUAUACGAGACAAACUUUUGAUCGGAUGGACUAAGUUACAGCACAUUUGCAGACAAAUUUUCAUUAGAAGUCCAGAGUUGAACAAAAUUUACAUACUACUACAACUAAUAACAAUAUCAUCUCGAAAAACUAACACCCCUGAUCCCGCGUUCUCGACAACUUCCAGAUUAUAGAUUAUCACAGACACACUUUCUAACUUCCUAAACAGUAAUUUAUUAAUGAAAAACUUUCUUCAUCAUUAUUUUUUGAGAGUUUUGUUUUUUUAAAACAAAAUCAAGCUAUCAACUUUCUGAAUUUAAUUCAUUUGUUUGUGUUGAAUAAUAUGAUCGUAAACUCAUCCAUCGGCCAUAAUCUAUUAGCUACGUCCCCUCAACGCUGCUCAACUUAGUGUGCCCAUAUGCAUGGACACCCUCUAUGAAUUAUACAUGGUCGUCUGAUGUAUGACACUACCUCAUGUUGCAUCGAGCUAUGUAUUUACAAAUGAGCGAUUUUAUUGUCUUUGAGUGGGUAUCUGGAUAUAUCAUAUUUUCUAAUGUAAAAUGUAUCUGGGAUGACAUAAUUAUUAUAUAUAGAAAAUUGGUAACUCUCAAGAACCCCAAAAUGUAUCAUCUAGGUAGGUAGUAAGUAGAGUAAAGUAUGCGGCCGGUCCUUAACGUGUUAGAGCGAGGUAUCACUUAGAUUCAUGAUCUUGAAAAAUCGAUAUUAGGGUCCGUGAUCUUGUUUAAAUGACUCAUUGAGAUCCAAAGUACCUUUGACCGGGUUGACUAGCUUACGUGACCAUCCAGAGUGGCAUCAUAUUUGCAUUUUAGCCCCCUCGCAUCCGAUCCAACACUUCUUCCCCAAAUCUUCUUUCAGCACUAGUGGUGAGGACGACAACGAGCGGCUGAUGGUGGACAACAACAACGGCACGGCCAAUGGUAUACAACGACGGUGGUGGCGAACGGAUGACGGCACAGCGCACGCUGUUGAGGGCCGAGGAGAGGGGAGCAGCGGUGGAGGGCAGAGGGCGUCGAGCUCCAACGGCUGAGUUCUAUACAAGCUUUAGGCCACAAUGGCAUAGGUUGGACCGGCGACAACUCAGAGUGUGGUGGCGGCAGCCCGGUGCGGCAGCGGCUUAGCUCGGGGACGACACGAGUGAGCUCGCCAGAGGUCACUCUCGUGCUGCUACUUCGUGUCGUCCACACACAACUAGCCGGGAGACAACGAGGGGAUGACGAGCGGUGGUGAACGACACAAAGCAAGAAGUAGUAGCACAUCAAGGGCCAGGAGACGACGAGGGGACAACCAGCCGCAGGGAUAUGACCGCAGCUGGGACGGAAUCCGCCGGUGUGCGUGUCGCCGCCUAGCGCGGUGACGUCCACGGCCUUAUUGCGGCCGUCGUUGCCGGAUCCGACGGAUAACUCGAUGACAUCGCUGUCAUUGAGGCUCCGAUAGUCGUCGAACUUGAGGGAGGACUGGUGGAUGAAGAGGUCCUCGCCGUCGUCGUCGGGAGUGAUGAAGCCGAACCCAUUGGUGGCGUCAAAACCCUUCACCGUCCCCUUCACCCUCUCCGACACCAUCUUGCCCUCACCGCCGAGCCCUAGAAGCCGCUCGCCGCCCCGCUUCGCUGGCCAGCCGCUGCCACCGCCCUACUCGCCCUUCCGCUUCCCUUCGCCUGGGGCGACCUCGACUCGGCCAGUUCCGGGUACUUGAGGCGGCUCGCCUAGCGCUUGCAGGUCCCGCCGCGGCCACAACAAGCGAUGGCGAGAAGGGCUGGCCGCCGUCCCCCGCCCUUCUCCCCGCCAGUCGCCUCCCUUCUCCCUCUUUGCGCAUGCUCGCCAACCCACCGUUGUACCCGCCUCCCUCCUCGUCGUCAUUGUCGUCGUCACUGCCGCCGCCGCGUUUCCACUGCCACCCCAAUCGGCCCGCAACCGCAAACCAUAGAAAUCACACUAAAAAAAGAUUUAGGGAAGAAGGGUUGGAUCGGAUCCCAAGGGGAUGAAAUGCAAAUAUGCUGUCACUCUGGACGGCCAUGUAAGCCAGUCAACCCGGUCAAUUUUUCAAGAUCAUGACCUAAGUGACACCUCGCUCCAACUUUAAAGACUGGCCGUGUACUUUAGUAAAUACAUGAUGCCACUUGGUCAAUUUGUAGAAGAAAAAAAGGGAGAAGGUUACACUAAGAAGUUUUAAAGCAGGGAUAAAUUAUAGAAGUGUCACAUUGCAUCUGUGUAUACGGAAAUAGGUUCCCCCACUCCCACCAGUGUCCACUGUCUAGCACGCACUUGCGUUGUGUGCAGUAUCGAUCAGUUAUACUAGGGAUGGCAGCAGGUCAGGUCGGGCACGGGUAGAGCAAAACCAUGCCCGACCCCAUGCCCGUCGUCACCCACCCGAACCCUACCCACUAGAGUUAGCAGACAAAACUCCGUGCCCAUACCCAUGCCCGACGGGCACGGGUAUAUCCGGCGGGUACCCAAUGGAUCUCACAUAAAUAAUAAUUCGAAAGAUAGAUAAUUUAACAAAGAGAAAUAAAAUUAACAAUUUACCAAAUUUUAGUUAUCGACAAUAAUUUGAAUUACAUCACAACUUAUUAUUAGUUAGUAUCACAAAUGAACCAAGAGAAAUGGGUAUAAAAAUUAAGAGAUAAGUUGAAAUUAGCUAAUAGAUAUGUAUCGGGUCGGGCAUGAGUUACCGACAGGUAAAAAAUGAAACCCGACUGUUACCCACAAUGUCUUCGGGUAUCGGGCGGGCAUAUCCACGGAUAAAAAAUCACACCCACACCCAUGCCUAUUGGGUCGGGUAUCCGCGGAUACCCGGACCCAUGAGCAAAAUUGCCAUCCCUGAGUUAUACGGUAUUACACCUUGACUAAUUUUCUACAUCAGUUCGGCCGAUGGCCACGGCUCACUGUAGCUAGUGGAAAGUGAACCAACCAGUAGUACACGCCCAAUCUGUAUUCCACAGAGCUUAAGAUUAGGUAACGACGCAUGCGGCAGCCAUCGACGAUCAUGGGCCAUAUCUUUUGCUCUACAACAUAUAUAUAUAUCAUCGAUGCUAGAAUUUAAAUCUUAAAACUUAAUUUUAAAGUUUUUAUAUCGUAGUUUUUUUAAACAUUAACGCUUAAGUCAUUAAGAACACACGCGCGCGCGCGCGCGCGCACAUAUACACAUACAUACAUAUAUACACACACACAUAUUAUAUAUAUAUAUAUAUAUAUAUAUAUAUAUAUACACACAUACAUAUACAUACAUACAUACAUAUAUAUAUAUAUAUAUAUAUAUAUAUAUAUAUAUAUAUAUAUAUAUAUAUAUAUAUAAGUUUUAAUUAUAAAUUAACUUUUUAUCACUAACAUAUCGUUUGAUGUAUUAUUCAUAAUUGGUCCCAGAUGGCGGCCCAAACUACUGGCCUACUGCUAGUACUGUGAGAACUGGACGACAGCCUAUACAGGACAGGACGCGUGCACGUCGGAGCAGCGACGCCGGCAGCGGCGACACGGUGAGGUUGAUGCCAAAGAUCGAUUGGUCGUUUUUUUUUUUUCUCUUUUGUAAGGGAACAUGCGAAAUGCUCUCACGUCUUUGUAUUAAGGAACGUGACGGUUGGUCGUCGUUCUCUCGAUGAUGAAUUAAGAACGGAUCGUGAGCUCGUUCGGGUUUCUAUUAAUUCUAUUUGGCUGCCACCUAAUGACGACUGAAUACUUAAUUUAGUCGUCCUCUCUCCAUGUGGAAUUGUGGAUGCGGCUUACCUGCAGCAACAGCAGCGACGAGCGACCUGCUCCAUCCACCGACGGCAGCAGACAGGCAGUACACCCAGCAUUCAGCGCUGCGCCGCGCAUCGUCCGAUGCAUGAGCCAGGCAAUGGAAUAAAAUCCAGAGAUCUACUAACGCCGGGAUUAGUACCAGUGAUAGUGUGGUUGACCGAUCAAUACGAUCCAGUGGGCGACCUCGAAUGGAUCUGGGUCUGCCUAAAUAUCAAUCCCAACUUCUGCAAAUUCUACGGGAGAUUUGUGGGCAGCAGGCUGUGCUCUCUUGGGCCGUGUUUAGAUUCUAAUCUUUUUUUUCAAACUCCAAUUUUUCCGUCAUAUCAAAUGUUUGUACAUAUGUAUGGAGCAUCAAAUAAAAACGAAAAAAACUAAUUUCACAGUCCGACUGUAAAUUGCGAAACGAAUCUUUUGAAUCUAAUUACGCUAUGAUUUGACAAUGUGAUGCUACAGUAAACAUUUGCUAAUAACGGAUUAAUUAGGCUUAAUAGAUUUAUCUCGGAGUUUGCAGGUAAAAUCUGUAAUUUGUUUUGUUAUUAGUUUACAUUUAAUACUUUAAAUGUGUGUCCGUGUACUUAAAAAUAAAUUAGCACACGAACUAAACACAGCCUUGGUAACCAAGUCAAGCAGGGAUCCAGUAGAAGAUACUCCCAAUUAGGGAGUUUGACUCGUAGUAGGUUUUGCUCGAGCUCUAGACAAGACGAAUCCGAGCCAUCUGUCAAAGCUCACGAGCUUUAUCGGGCUAAGCUUUAGCUCAUAACGAGCCUAACAAUAUAUGAGUUUUAUUUUUUUAAUAAACUAGUAGAUUAAAUAUGAUAUAAUAUACGCACACAAUGAAAUAGCUUGUAUUGGUAUUAUAUACUUCAUCCGUUUCAAUUUUUAUAAUGUAUGACCUUCUAGAAUUGUUUAUAUUUAUAUAAAUGUUAAUUAAUCUAGACUUACAUAUAUGAGCGAAUAUGGGCAAUACUAAAAAGUCUUACAUUAUGAAAUAGAGGGGAUCGAGUAUUUAUUUUUUAAGAGAUUAUCAUUGAAAUAUAUGUUGUACUACUUAUGAACCAAUCUCGAUAUAUAGUCGAGCUGAUCGAGCUCGACUCGAAUCUGGCUAGAAGUUCAAAGGUUAACAGGCUCGAGUUGAGCUUGUAUUGAGCUCGAGCCGGUCGGCUCAUUGACGGAAGAGCAGCCCAUCAGCAGGUCUCGAAGGAUGAAGGGGAGAUCUCCUCCGAAACCAGAUGAAAGAAAAAUAUAAGACUAAUGGUACCGAGACCAAAGCAACUUGGCAGUACGUGAACCAUAUGAUAAUCUGUCUCUCUGCAUGCAACUGCUAAUUUGCACAUGUUUACAUCUAAGGUCUGAUGAGGAUGGUUGACCUUUUGCUUAUACUGUAAGUCUGUAAUAACCAGGAAAAUAAUGUAAAACAGGCUAUGGCCUGCCCGGCCGGCUGGUUACUGGUUACUAUCAUACUCGUUUCGAUGGAACCUCGUUGCUAAUGAGUAAUGAACGUAGAGCCCAUUACCAGCCCAGGUCCAUUAAAAACUUACUACCAAGUGAGUUUUUUCUUUAUGUAGCUAGCCCAUCAAGCUCAAAGCUCUCAAAAGAGGAGCAACUUUAUUUUCAUUUUGCGGAACACAUUAAUUCUGUAGCUUAUCAAAGAGGCUAACAGUAAUUUGUGGCUCAAUCUUACUCGAGUGGCUCUAGAUUAGAUGGGGAAUUUAACUAUUUGCCACUUUUAGGUUUGGCAAUUAUCCAAAUACCUCUCUUAGGCUCGCGCUUAAUAAUUUGCCAAAGGAAAGACAUGAUUUCUUAAUUAUUUUCCACUUUUACAUACGUGGCGUGCCCGCGUGAAAAACAACAUGGACCCCACCCGUCAGCCCCUUCUCGCUCAUUCUGCUCCUCCUCCGGCUGCCAAGUCUCAUCCUUCUCUAGAUCUUGGCAGCGGAAGCAAGCUAGCAUCGGCGGCGCCGUCGGAGGCGGACCUCGCGCAGCUCUCGACGGUGAGGAGGUGCACGGGGAGGAGCGGCCUGCGGUAAGGUGAGCAAGGACCUGAUCCAUGGCGGCGAUGGCGCACUGUGUUGUCCUAGUGCCUGUCCUCGUCAUCGCCUCCUCCCUUGUUGCGGCGGCGUACGGGGCGGCCUUGCGUUCGCUCAGUGCCAACGAAGGCAAGGGAGAGGUCAACACCGACACCGCCGUCGACCUCAUCACCACCAGCCGAACCUCAACACUGACGCAGGGUGGUCUCGCCAGAGCCGUGGCCAUCGUUAGGUUGGUCUCACCUUUGUCUCCUUUUUUUUUAAUCCCUGCGAAGUCCACCUUCGAUGCCCCGAUGCCACGAUUGACGUUGCCGCGUCGCUGGUUGAUUUCGUCGCUAAGAUUUGGAGAAGGAGGCUGUGACGGCCGGAGGAGGAAAAGGAGAGGGGAGGGGCUGACGGGUAGGGUCCUCAUUGAUUUCCACACGGGCACACCACGAUGACAUGUCACGUAGGCAAGAGUGACAAAUAGUUAAGAAAUCAUCUAUCUCCAGUGGUAAAUUAUUAAGCGUAAAUCUAAGAGGGGUAUUUGGAUAAUUGCCAAAUCUAAAAGUAGUAAAUAGUUAAAUUCCCCAGAUUAGAUUGGGGAUGCGUGAAGUUCAGGCGAGCAAGGCAUGUAAACACUGACGCAAAUCGCAAUCACGCAAUACAUCACUACAGCAGCAGCGGAUCAAAGAUCAACAACUCCAUUUCCCAAAAUUUAAUCCAUAAUGAAAGACAUACACUGAUAUACAAGAGCCUAAACAUUUACUAAUCAUCAACAAAAGAUAGCUAGGAAUUAAUUAAAUAAUACAGCUACGCCAACAGUGCGUACGUCAGCACCAUUCACCCCACGCUUUUUUAGCGCAAUGUGUAGCCACCCAGCGGCAUUGUCAGAAAAAGUUGAGGGCUUUUUUGGUGCAGCCUUGGAGUGUUGGACUACAACAACUCAGUGCGCGAACGAAAACUUUUAGCGUGUUAUAUGGAUAUUAAUUUAAAGUAUUAAAUGUAGACUAAUAAUAAAAAUAAAUUAUAAAUUUUGUCUGAAAACUACGUGACGAAUUUAUUAAGUCUAGUUAAUCUGUUAUUAGCAAAUAUUUACUGUAGCACCAUAUUGUUAAAUCAUAGAGCAGUUAGGUUUAAAAUAUCCGUAUCGCAAUCUACACGUAAUCUGUGUAAUUAGUUUUUUUAUAUAUUUAAUACUUCAUGUACGGAUGUGACAGGGUGAAAAAUUAUUGUUUAGAAACUAAACAGGCUCUAAAUUAUAAGCACCGCGAUAUUAUCAGAGGUUUGAUGAUGAAGUCGAUGGUCAUCAUCAUAAUCUCUCUCAACGUGCCUGCGAGUCUCAUUGCCCCCCAACUCCCCCGCCCACGAAAUGAUUCCCCUGCUCGCCGGCGUAUGUCGCAAGCAACACAGCGAUCCAACAACGAGCCUCGCGCCCUCGCGGCUCCACCACCUGCGCACCGCCGCAUCUGCGUUUUCUCCGUGCUCCGAACCCGACAUCCUUCGCCACCGGGUCCGACCGGCCGGCCCGUACCCAAAAAGUCAAUUUUCCCGGGCCCCACAUGUCAGUGAGGUACCAGCCCAUCCCCCGGUCCUAAACAACUUAACCACCGGUGAACAACUGAGCACCGAUGCCCCACCUCGCAGAGAUAAUUAUAAAGUAUUAGGGCCUCUUUGAAUCGCAGGAUUGAGAAAACGUAGGAAUAGGAAAAACGUAGGAUUUUAAUAGGAAUGUAAGUUUAAAACAGAGGAUUGCAAAACACAGGAAAAACAUAGGAAUGACCGUUUGAUUGAACGGUGAGAGAGAGACUUAAAGGAAAGUUAGCAAGAGGUUGAAGCUCUUGCUAAGGGCCUCUUUGAAUCGCAGGGUAGAAAAAAACGGAGAAAUAAGAAAAACGCAGGAUUCUGACAAGAAUUGAAGUGUAAAACAGAGGAUUGCAAAACACAGGAAAAACACAUGAAUGGUCGUUUGAUUGGAGCGCAGGAAAAACGCAGGAAUCGGAUAAGAGAGAUAGACUCAAAGGAAAUUUUCCAAGAGGUUGGAGCUCUUGCUAAAUUUCCUCCAAAAUCCACAUGCAAUGUGUCAUUCCAUACGAAUUUCAUAGGAUUUGGAAAGCUUCAAUCCUUUGAAUCAAAGGCCCAAAUAGGAAAAUUUCCUAUAGGAUUUAAAUCCUAUGAAAUUUCUACAUAAAUCCUUUGAUUUAAAGGGGCCCUAAAUUUCCUCCAAAAUCUCUAUAGGAUUGUCCAUUCCAUAUGAAUUUCAAAGAAUUGGAUAGGAUUUAAUCCUUUGUUUUAAAGGGCUUUAUAGGAAAUUUUCCUAUAGGAUUGAAAUACUCUAAAAUUCCUGUGUUUUCCUCCAAAUCUAAGGAGCCCUUAACCGGGGAAAUCGCUACCUAAUCUGGCCUAACCGAGGUAAUUAUCGAGUGGGAUUAACCUUCGUUCGGGGCGGUGCUCGGGUCGGGCGUCCAGAUCUCGGGCUCGCUGAGCUGUCGCCAUCGACCCGGAGUCCCUCCCGCACCAGCUAACCUUUGCUUCCGUUGGAAGCGCCAGCCAGCGCUCGCCGUUGUCACCUGUCACACUGCGUUGCACGGAUUAUCGUUUUUAAUUAAUCGUCACCAGAUUGUUUUUUUUCUUUCUUUUUGCAAAUCUCGCUUCGCUUUUGGAGUGGGAGGAAUUAAUUGUGGAGUUGGGUAGAUCGAUCAGGGGCAGCGCGAGCGAGGCCCGGUUGGUAGCAGUCGGUGCGUGUUUGUGCGUGUGCGCGCUGCUUCUGCUUGCAUCGUGGUGCGAGGAGGGGAGAGGAGGGGUGCUGCUAUAAAUACGGCUCAGAUCUGGGAGGCUUUCUUCCUCGUCCGCCUCCGGUCUAAUCCGAUUCAAACCCGCCGUUUCCAAGCUUGCUCUCCUCUCCCCCCCAAUCCUUCCCUCCCGAGUGGCAGGGUGAGCAUUCCGCCGCUCCCGUGUUUUUUUUUUUGAUCCAUCUCCGUGGUGGUGGAUCGCGAUCGCGUGUGUGGGGUUGAGGGGGGUUUCGAUUUUGUGGUUUGGGUGGUGUUGGUUUUUUUUUUUUUUUUGGGUGGGGGGGGGGGAAUUGUGACGAUCUGAGUGUUGGUGACGGUGGAUCUGUGGCGUUUUUGUGCGUACCAGGUGCUCGACGGGAUGGCGCAGAAGGAGGCCAAUGGCAGCAGCAACGGGGAGCACACCACCCGCCCGCCGCCGACGCCCUCGCCGCUCCGGUUCUCCAAGUUCUUCCAGGUGAUUUUGCCGGGAUCCGAUCGCUGGAUCUCGCCGUAUACGUGGCCCGAUCGCUCGACCUGGUCUGAUUGUUCGUGGGUGUUUGUGUGUGUGUGCAGGCGAACCUGAGGAUCCUCGUCACCGGCGGAGCUGGCUUCAUCGGCUCGCACCUCGUCGACAAGCUCAUGGAGAACGAGAAGCACGAGGUACGGAUGAGAUCCUGUAGUACGAUCCGUUUCAUUUUUGUUCGGCUUGCUUGUCUAUUGGGGGGUUUGUGGCAUUGACUUGUGCCGGUCGGUGAGGUCAAGCUCCGUCCGUUGUGAGGAACAGUAGCUAGAUCUGAGUGAUCUAGUUAGGGACUGAGGGUUCGAGAUCUAUAUCAGAAACGGUAAUGAAUGGAGAUGCUUCUGCCAGAUCUCUGGGGUGCAAGCUUUUCUGCUACGUUUUGCAUGGCGUGGGGUUGGGGCAUUUAUGUCUGAAACUUAAGCUUGAAGCUUCUCUCGAGUCUCACUACCUGAGAAUGUUUUCCACAACGAGAGAGAUCAUAGAUAUCAGUGUCAAUGCUUCAGGGAUCUUGCUAGGAGUACUUCAUUAUAUGCCCUGAGCUUUAGCUUUGGAUCUGUUUGAGAAUGUGAGAGUUAAUCCAAGAUCCAGUAGCAAUGUUGUAGAGAUCUCGCUGCUAGUACUUCAUCCAUGAUAAGCAGAGUACCAUGCUAAGGCUUGAGAUCUUUCUUGCGCAGUGCAUAUGCUUCAUAUUCACAAGAGUUUGUACUUUGUAGAACUCAACAAUGUUGCAUUGUUGCCUUGUGUGACUGCUUGGCAGAUUUUUAGCUGAGAAAGUGCGGGCCUUUGAUCAUGUGUUCUUUUCUGUUCAGGUCAUUGUCGCAGACAACUUUUUCACUGGUUCAAAAGACAACCUGAAGAAGUGGAUCGGACACCCAAGAUUUGAGCUAAUCCGUCAUGGUAUUGCUACAUUCUCAGUGCAUUUAGUUCAUGAACUAUUGUUACAUACUAGUAAUAAAGUUUUACUGCUAGCAAGUUUUUUCGUUCAAAAUUUGAGAAACACUAUAGAUCUUGGUUAGUAAAUUACAAACAAAGCACCGUAUUAUAAUUUUGGCUUUGAGUCAAUGCUUACACAAAUGCAGUCUUGAGUUGUCUGUUCAACAGAAUGUACGGAAUUUCUGCACUUGUCAUUGAACCUCUCUUAGUCAAGUUCAUCUUUCUAUCUUAUUAGAUUAGAUUAUGAGUAUGUUUAUGUGACUUUCUAUUGGUAAAUUCUGUUCCAACUUCCAAACAAAAGUGUAUGCUUUCAUGCUUAUAUAGUUAUAUUUAUGACUUAUGAAAAAGGGUGUUUGGCCCAACCAUGAAAACAGGCUGAUAGAUGUUAUCCUGUGCUCAUCUUGAUUCUGUAGUGUACUUAAGACACUAAACUUUUUUUGCGAUCAGUUCUAUCGUAUCUUCAAAAGUAUAUUAUUGUGAGAUAUUAAAAUUUUGACCUUUUUUUUAUUCAUUUCAGAUGUCACCCAGCCCCUGCUUGUGGAGGUUGACCAAAUCUAUCACCUUGCUUGCCCUGCUUCACCAAUCUUCUACAAGCACAACCCUGUCAAGGUACAGUCUCUAUUAUAUAUAUAACUCUGUUAAGUCCAACUAUUCAAAUACAAAUCUUGUUCAUGUCCUGUUCUGAUAUUUAAAUGGAUGUAUAAUCAUGUACAGACCAUCAAGACAAACGUUAUCGGAACCCUGAACAUGCUUGGACUUGCCAAGAGAGUUGGAGCUAGGUUGGUGUUUUUUUAAUGCUGAUUAACUUGUCCUAUGCAACUUAUGAGAACUAUAUAAUGAAGGGAGGUUUUUAUGUUGUACUGCAGGAUUUUGUUGACUUCGACCUCUGAAGUUUACGGUGAUCCGCUUGAGCACCCUCAAACAGAGGCCUACUGGGGAAAUGUUAACCCAAUUGGUACGUCUGUUCUAUCACAAAUACACUACAUUUAUCCUAUAUUUUCUUAAUCUAGUGCAAAGUUCACUUACUUGAAUUGAUUUACUUCAUCAGGAGUCAGGAGUUGCUAUGACGAGGGUAAGCGUGUCGCAGAAACACUGAUGUUUGACUAUCACAGGCAGCAUGGCAUUGGUAAUAUUUUUAGUUCAUACCUUUUUGUCUUGUGAUGUACUGGAUUGUAGUUCUCCUUAAUAAGUAUUUUCCAAUCUAUCUCUGUAGAGAUCCGAAUUGCCAGGAUUUUCAACACCUAUGGACCUAGGAUGAACAUUGAUGAUGGGCGUGUUGUUAGUAACUUCAUUGCUCAGGCCGUACGGUAAUGCUCGCUGAACUUCUUUCAACAUUCUCUCAGGUUGUGUCCAGUUGGUCCUGGAGCUUAUUUUCAUACAUAAUUUUACAGUGGCGAGCCCCUGACUGUUCAGAAGCCAGGAACACAAACUAGGAGCUUCUGCUAUGUUGCUGACAUGGUUUGUCACCCCUUUUGAAAUGUCAUUAAUUAAUAGCUGGCUGAAACUUUGAUAUAUCAUUGCAUCACAUCAUCACUGGUACCAUUUUAAUGCAGGUUAAUGGUCUUAUUAAGCUGAUGAACGGGGACAACACUGGACCAAUUAAUUUGGGAAACCCAGGUAGAUUUACCUCUGCAUUCGUUUGAUUUUUCUCUACAUGUGGUAAUCUGUACUAGCAAUCCUGUGGUAAUGAAAUUGAUUUUCACGUCCUUGUCACUAAAUGGUCAUAAUAUAUUGUGUUGUAGGUGAAUUCACCAUGCUGGAACUUGCUGAGAAUGUGAAGGAGGUAAGAUGAAUAUCCUGUUGCCGAACAUCAUUCCAUGGGAUGUUUCUGAAUGGCAUGCUAAGUUUCCCUGCUUUUACCUUGCAGUUGAUCAACCCAGAGGUUACCGUCACAAUGACUGAGAACACUCCUGAUGAUCCUCGUCAGAGGAAGCCAGACAUUACAAAGGCAAAGGAAGUUUUGGGGUGGGAGCCCAAGAUCGUUCUGCGUGAUGGCUUGGUGCUCAUGGAAGAUGAUUUCCGGGAGCGCCUCCAAGUGCCCAAGAAGAACCAGGCCUAAGCUGCUGCAUCGCAUUUGGCGAAAGAUGUCACUGGAGCAUACUUAAUAGUUGGGUUUCACCAUUAUUUGUGUCGCAGUUCAUUGUGGAAUUUGGGUUCCAAUAAAUUCUGAUACACCUUUGUUGUUCACCUGAAAUAUUGUGUUACUAGAAUCGUCAUACGGGGCUGGGCUAUUUGUAUCAUUACCGCUUUUGGAGAACUCUUUAUACUUUUGUUUGUAGCCUGUGUACUCGCCUAAAUCAAUUAUAGCAAUGUUGAUGAAUUUUUAGCUUGUUUGUUUUAUUACUGCUGAGUACCGUUUCACAUGUCUGCCUAUUUCUUUGCUGAGUAUUCCAACUCUUUGGCCUCAAAUAAUCUCUUUGCGUCAGCUUGGAACGUAGAAUUUUCUUCGAUCUCUGCACAAACUAAACUAAUUGUUGUGAUUUCACAUCUCUAGUCUACAGUAUUAUUACUGCAUUUGUUUGUGAAGGGCGGGUCAAACUGCCAAUCUGCUGCUGAAAUGCUUGGAGCAAGUACUAUAAGGCUGUGUUUAGUUCCACGCCAAAUUUGAAAGUUUGAAAAAAUUGGAACGAUGUGAUAGAAAAGUUGGAAGUUUGUGUGUGUAGAAAAGUUCGAUGUGACGGAAAAUUUAGAAGUUUGAAGAAAAAGUUAGAAUCUAAACAGGGCCUAAGUUUUAUGCACGGUCCAGCCGAUAGCAUUGGGAGGUCAGUGCAGGCGAUAGCAGGGAGGUUGCCCAACCGACGACGUGGGAGGACGUGGUGGCAUCAGGGAGGCCAGUGAAGGUGGUGUGCCGCAGAGGCCUGCGGCAGCUGACCGGCGAGGGGCAUUGGUUGAGCGAUGUCCUCGCGUUGACAGAGACGAGGGGCGUUGGUUCAGCAAUGUCCUCGCGCUGACGGAGGAUGGCAUGUGGCAUUGGUUCAGCAAUGUCCUCGCACUGACGGAGGAUGGCCUGUGGCAGAGCAAUGGAGCAUGCAGAUCGAUAUUGGUUCAGCAAUGUCCUCGCGCUGACGGAGGAUGGCCUGUGGCAAAGCAAUGGAGCAUGUAGAUCGAUAUUGGUUCAGCAAUGUCCUCGCAUUGACGGAGGAUGGCCUGUGGCAGAGCAAUGGAGCAUGCAGAUCGAUAUUGGUUCAACAAUGUCCUCGCGCUGACAGAGGAUGGCCUGUGGCAGAGCAAUGGAGCAUGCAGAUUGAUAUUGGCAGGGUGACAGGUGUAAAACCUAGCUCAGCUUUGUCAGCCCGACAAUGAUAACAUUUUCGGUAUCGUUUACCUUUUUAGGAGCGCUGUCGAGAUGUCCCUCUCUCUCUGGUGGUGUUGUCGGGGGAAAACCCUAUCUUCGUUCUCCUCGAGACCUUGAUGAAUGCAACACUGCUCAUCGCUGCUUUUCUCCAUGGAGAUGUCGUCUAGGAGGCCCUCUUGCCAAAUCUUCUCUUAGAUAGCUUGUUUGUGCUUUCUCUAUACGUUUGUCCUCUUAUGAUGACACACUAGCUAAUGCAAGCUAACCAUGUUGGCGGGCCUUGUGGGGAAGAGCGGUUCCAUCCUUCUCGGGGCAUUUAACUUUCUACCACUUUUAAGAUGUGGCAAUUAAGAAUUUGCCACUAGCAAUCUAUGAUAUGUGGGCCUAGUGGCAAAUAGUUAAUUAUUCCUGGUUUUGGGCGAUUCGGUUAUAGCUACUUUAUUGAUCUAGUGGUGACUGGUCCGGUGCCAACCUUCUCUUGGGUUCUAUGUGUUGUCGGUGCGAGGUGGUGGUUUUAUUCUUUCGCGACUACUGCCUUACAGAGUGCUAGCCUUGCAAUUUUUUCUUCUCUAUUCAAUGAAUCAUCGUUUCGUCUGGCGUUGGUCGUUCAAGAUAAAUGAAAUUCUUAUACUACCCCUAAAAGUUGCAACAUAAGAUUAGAUGAUGAGGCGGAGGAGAGAUAGGAUGAGUCACCCCCUUACGCAAGGGACCAUCUUUACAUAAACUUUCAAAACAAAGUGAGAUGGUGUGAGAGUGAAGCAAUAAAAAAAUAAUUGGAUUUUUAUGUGUUGGAAGUAAAUUAUUGUAUACGUUGCCUCUUAAUUAAUACUCCCUCCGUCCCAAUAUAUAAGAACCCUAGGAUCGGAUGGGACAUUUUCUAGUACUACGCAUGUCCAGAUUUGUAGUACUAGGAAAUGUCCCAUUGGCAUGUCUAGAUUCGUAGUAUUAGAAAAUAUCCCAUCCGGUGCUAGGUUCUUAUAUAUUAGGACGGAGGGAGUAUGUAGAUGAUAUAAUUAAAUUUAGAGAUAGCAGUCAUUCCUAUUAUAAAACUUGCACAAACAGAGCUGAGCAGCUGCUACUGCUUGAUUGAUUAAUUGAAUAUCAGGUUGUAGGUUGUACCGAGUACCGUACGUACGGGUUAACAACCACAUACUGUAACAAAAGAUUAGGGCUACCCAACAAAAUCUGGUCUUGGCAUUUUCCGCAAACAAACGGACGAAUCAGCAGCUGUCGUGCUCAGAGGUCAGAGCUGAUUGGUCUCCCCUGCGGCCUUCCUGUACUGUUCCUAAUCUUUCCGGGCUGUUCUUGUACGGCUUCCCAGCGCAAGGAAAUCUAGGAGUAACAACAUUUUGCACGGUCUGGAGCAUUGGUUGCAUGCAUGAUCCAAAGGGUGGAGUCGUCUUGCAACAGCGCAUCACAAUCCCGACACAACACCAGCAUUGCUAAGCUAGCGGUGACCUGACCUCAUGAUAUUAUAUGGAACUUCAAUUCGUUGAUAAUACUAUUUUUUGGAUUGUUUGUUUAUCAAUGAAUUUUUAUUCUCUCUAAACAAAGUUUCGAAUGCUAACCAAAUGCUACUGUACAGUCUGUACCUACUAAUAAUAACUAACGAUCCUAUGCUUCAUUUCAAAGCAAAGGACAUGUGCUGCUGUGCAUCGCGAACGACGUGUCCUGUACGCCUGUAUCAUGUCCGAUGAGUAGCGCCGAAUAGGUCGAUGUCGGUGGCGACUAUACGUCCAUCUUCUACUGUCAAACUGCCUGCAACGUGCCUUCCGGUUAUCUGUGUAAAUUAACCGCGUGGACAACUCUCUUAAAACAACCACAAUCCCCUCUCUGAAAAUGAAGUUAGAAAAUACAGUAAAAAAAUCUAUUAACACAUAAUUAAUUAAUUAAGUUGCACGUUCAUUUAAUAUUUUAAAACAAUUUUUAUAUAGGAAGUUUUUAAAUGAAACAUAGUAGUUUAAAAAACGUGCUAACAAAAAUCGAGAUAAAAUUUAUAUCGUAAUAAAAGAGAACACCAACUGAGACUUGAAAAAGGAAUAGUAAACAUUCGUGAGCUAUAGUUUUCUACGCAAGUAUAUAGCAACUAGUAGUAGGAAGGAUUUCUAUGUAGGAUAACAGUAUACCACCAGUCAGGUUGUGUUUAGUUCAUGCCAGAGUUGGAAGUUUGGCUGAAAUUGGAACGAUGUAAUGGAAAAGUUGAAAGUUCGAAGAAAAACUUUGGAUCUAAACACAACCUCAGUCUAUUCACUUUAUUGCUAAAAUAAACCCUACUAGUUAUCCUAGAAUAAACCCUACCAGUCAGUCUAAAAUACCACCAAAUUUGACAAGGUAACAAAUCUAAAAUAUUAUCAAAACUUGACAACACUACUAAAAUUUGAUAAUUCUAGAUGAGUAAAAUGCACUAGCGGUCCUUAAACUUGUUGGGAGGUUUCACUUAGGUUCACAAAACUUGCAAAGCGCAUAUCGAGAUCCCUAAACUUAGUUUAUUGUAUCAUCCCGGUGCAAAGCUGUGUUUGAUCGUGGUCUUGCCUACGUGGCACACCACAUGAACGAUAACAUGGAUUUUUUAUUUUUUUCUCCCUUCUUCCUUCUUUUUUCACUACUGCGACAACCCCUCCCCUCGUGCCGCCUCUCAGCACCGAGAAAAAAGAAGGAAGAAAGAGAAAAAAGAAGGAAGAAGGGAGAAAAAAAUAAAAAAAAUUCCAUGUCAUUGUCCACGUGACGUGUCACGUAGGCAAGACCAUAGUCAAACGCGGUUUUGGACCGAGAUGAUACAAAACCAAGUUUAGGGAUUUCGAUGUGCGGUUUGCAAGUUCGUGGACCUAAGUGAAACCUCCUGACAAGUUUAAGGAUCGUUGGUGUAUUUUACUCAUUCUAGAUCUUCCUUAAACAAAAGCCUAACAAAUGUAACAAAUUAACAUAACUUACACUUCUCAAUCUUAUCAAAUACAAUACUAAAAUUUGAUAAGGUUCAUUUUCAGAUCAAAUGAACAACCCAUAAAGCGAUGUGUUUAGUAGGAAGGGUUGGUACGCUUUAAAAAAAAGAACGGUAGAUCAAUCCAUGAUUAAUUAAGUAGUAUUAACUAAUAAUAUUUUAAAAAAUAAAUUAACGUGAUUUUUGAAGUAGUUUUUUUAUAGAAUUUUUUUAAAAACAAACCGUUUAUUAAUUCAAGAAACAUACAUGUGAAAAAUGAGAUGCAUAGGUUAGAAAAGUGUGAAAGGAAUACAACAAAUUUUAAAUCUACUAUUAUUUAAAUGCACCAUUAUAAUUGAGGAAGCGUACCAGUAGAAAGAAAACGAUGGGCUGGUUUGGUUUGUGACCUAAAUUGGCCUUACCAAUUUUUGUCGAUGUCAAAUUUUAGCAAGUUUUGGCAUGGCUAAUUUUGGCAAGGCAAAAUUGUAUUUGGAUUGAAGCCAAAAUAGCCUAAGUUAACGAUUGAAAUGUCCUAUUUUCUAAGGCAUGCUAAAAUUUGGCUUCAAACUAAAUAGACACUAAACACUGUUAAAAUUGUCAAAUAUUGGUAAAAACAAUUUAAGCCUCGAACCAAACCGGCCCGACCCGAUAGAAGUAAGAAAGCGUGAAAAAAAAGGAACACAUCAAAUCGCCCAGACCUACCACCGUUCAGCACGAGGACGAGACGAGGGAACGUUAAAGACGCGGGGGCCGGCAGCUUCCACCACGCAUCCCACCUACCCUGCUACACACGCAUCCUCGUCUGGCGGUGGACUGGCCGCGGGCCGGUGUGCUGUGGACUCCGGCACGACCACCCGCGGGUCGCCGACGCGCGGGCCCCACCACCACGCAGGCCCCGUAGGCGGCGUGUACCGGACGCGCGGCGAAACGGCCCGCCCCGCAUUUAAGGCCCACCCCCUCCCCUCCUCCCCCUCCCCCUCCCCCUCCCGCAUCACAGCCAUUCGCCACUUCACCACCACCACCGCCAUAAUCCGUCUCGCCCCGAUCCAGCCGGCUCGUCACCGACGCGACGCCGCCGCGGCCCCCCAGAUCCCGUCGUGCGCGCGCGCGAUCUGCUCUCGGUGAGCGCCCACUUCUCUUCGUCUCCGUCGUUUUUUUUUCCCUAGGUCGGUGUCGGGGGAUCGCCCCGCCCGGCCGGGUUGGACUCGUGGAUCCUCUCGUCUGAAAUUUGUUCUGGCGCCUUGAGGGGGGGAUAGAUCUGGCUGGCCCGUGCGGUUGUGCGUUGUGAUCUGGUGUGGCGCGGGGUUCUCGUGCGUGCGCAUUCCGCGUUUGCGGCGGGGAGAGGGAUCUAUCUGUCUACCUUUCUGGUGCAGGGGAGGCGGUGAGUGGUGCCGAUCACCGUUGUUUUGUGGUUCGUUCGUUCGUUCUACUUGGUUGUGGAUCAUGGUGAGCAUUGCCGUUAGUUAGUACAUAUCACAAUCACAAUUGUUUAACGUGAAGAAUUUGAUUAUUUGGUAAAUUGAAGGCUAGAUCAUGAAGCCGAGGUGCUGUUUGGUACUACGAGAGAGACUUCGCACACACACACUCUCUCUCUCUCUCUCAGGGAUCCAUGUUUAUGUCGCUCCUUUUCUCAAAUAAAUCGAUACUAGAUCAGUUGCGGUUUUUGUUUUUUCUUCAUUUUCCAUGGGUGUUAACUAGAUCUGCUUUUUAUAAUUUUAACUCUGUCUUGGGGUGCCUUUUAUGACGUCACAUGUGAGGAUACUCUUCUGAUGCCAUUUUGUACACAUCAGCAGGCGAAGAUGGCGGCUUACGAGCCCAAGAACAUUCUUAUAACCGGCGCUGCUGGUUUCAUCGCAUCACAUGUGGCGAACCGCCUAGUCAGGAACUAUCCGCACUACAAGAUUGUUGUCCUCGACAAGCUCGAUUACUGUUCCAGCCUGAGCAAUCUCAACCCUUCACGUCCAUCGCCGAAUUUCAAGUUUGUCAAGGGUGACAUUGCAAGUGCUGAUCUGGUGAACUACCUUCUCACAACUGAGUCAAUUGACACUAUCAUGCACUUUGCUGCUCAGACUCAUGUGGAUAAUUCAUUUGGCAAUUCCUUUGAGUUUACAAAGAACAAUAUUUAUGGUACCCAUGUCCUUCUUGAGGCCUGCAAGGUUACUGGUCAGAUUAGAAGAUUUAUUCAUGUGAGUACUGACGAGGUGUACGGAGAAACUGAUGAGGAUGCUGUGGUUGGCAACCAUGAGGCCUCACAGCUGCUUCCAACAAACCCAUAUUCAGCUACAAAAGCUGGGGCUGAGAUGCUUGUGAUGGCUUAUGGAAGAUCUUAUGGCCUUCCUGUGAUUACAACUCGGGGCAACAAUGUAUAUGGGCCAAAUCAGUUCCCUGAGAAGCUCAUUCCCAAAUUUAUUCUUUUGGCAAUGAGAGGCUUGCCCCUUCCCAUUCACGGUGAUGGCUCAAAUGUCAGAAGCUAUCUGUAUUGUGAGGAUGUUGCUGAAGCUUUUGAGGUGGUUCUUCACAAAGGAGAGGUUGGGCAUGUGUACAAUAUUGGUACUGUGAAGGAAAGGAGGGUGAUUGAUGUGGCCAAGGACAUAUGCAAGCUCUUUGGCUUGGACACCGAGAAGGUCAUCAGAUUUGUUGAGAACAGGCCUUUCAACGACCAGAGAUACUUCUUGGAUGAUCAGAAGCUGAAGAAAUUGGGAUGGGCAGAGCGCACACUAUGGGAAGAGGGGUUGAAGAAAACAAUUGAAUGGUACACUAACAAUCCUGAUUACUGGGGAGAUGUCGCAGGUGCCUUGCUCCCUCAUCCAAGGAUGUUGAUGACACCUGGAGUUGAAAGGCAUAACUGGACUGAUGAGAUCAAAUCUCUUUCCACUUCACCAGAUGAAGCUAAGGAAUCUAGCACUGCGGUUCCUGCAGCCACUGCCAAAAGCACCAGCAGUGCCCCUCAAAAGGCCUCAUACAAGUUCUUGAUAUAUGGUAGGACUGGAUGGAUUGGUGGUCUACUUGGUAAGAUAUGUGAGAAGCAAGGGAUUCCAUAUGAGUAUGGGAAAGGACGCCUGGAAGAGCGCUCUCAGCUCUUGCAGGACAUUAGAAAUGUGAAGCCAACUCAUGUUUUCAAUGCUGCUGGUGUCACUGGGAGGCCAAAUGUUGACUGGUGCGAGACCCAUAAACAGGAUACUAUCCGCACCAAUGUUGUUGGCACCUUGAACCUUGCUGAUGUUUGUCGUGAGCAGGGCUUGCUCAUGAUUAAUUAUGCUACAGGUUGCAUAUUUGAGUAUGAUGCUAAGCACCCCGAAGGAUCAGGAAUUGGUUUUAAAGAGGAAGAUAAGCCCAACUUUACUGGUUCAUAUUAUUCCAAAACUAAAGCUAUGGUACGUUCAAGUCGUGUUUUUAAGAACUAUAACAUCUAUCCUUUUAUUUCUCUCAGGUACUAACGUAUCUUUUAUUAUAAUGCGAUGUAAUGCAGGUUGAAGAGCUGUUGCAAGAAUAUGACAACGUCUGUACGCUUCGAGUCAGGAUGCCCAUAUCAUCAGAUUUGAGCAACCCCCGUAACUUCAUCACAAAGAUAGCUCGUUAUGACAAGGUGGUAAACAUCCCCAACAGUAUGACAAUUUUGGAUGAGCUUUUGCCCAUCUCCAUUGAGAUGGCGAAGCGGGACUGCAGGGGCAUAUGGAACUUCACCAAUCCUGGGGUUGUCAGCCACAACGAGAUCCUGGAGAUGUACAAGAAAUACCUCAACCCCGACUUCAAGUGGACCAACUUCACUCUUGAGGAACAGGCCAAGGUUAUAGUUGCACCAAGAAGUAACAACGAAAUGGAUGCAUCGAAGUUGAAGUCCGAGUUCCCCGAGCUACUGUCCAUCAAGGAUUCUUUGGUUAAGUAUGUUUUUGAGCCAAACAGGAAGGUUCCUGCUAACUGAAGAUUUACGGGCGCGGGCGGGAGUUAUGGAGGUUACGAGCGCGGGCGGGAGUUAUGGAGGUUAUUGCACGGAUGCAGUUGUGACCAUACUUUUUUUUGUAGUUUUUGGUUAUAUCUGGUGUUUUGUUAAGAUACAUGUAGGUGAACUACAUACCGUUCGAUACUUAACCUAUUUAUUUAUAUAUUCAUAGCAAUUCGUGUGCACGGCAUGUGCAUAUUAUUUUUUUUGCUUUGGUUUGUGCGGUGGUUCAGAAUGUAUCUCACCUCUACGUUGUACUCUUUGAACUACUUACUCUAUCUAAAAAAGGGCAAUUCUUACAUAUUAAUUUGGGCUCAAAACUUUUGUGAUUGAUUGAUGAGCAGCCGACGAUCUGGUAGCGUGAGAGUGAAUCCUCCGUUCGGCAUCAGCAUCGGAUGAUCUGGUAGCGUGAGAGUGAAUCGUCCGAUCGGCAGUAGCAUCGGUCGAUCCGGUAGCGUGAGUGAAUCCUCCGAUCGGCGGUAGCGUGAGUGAAUCCUCCGAUGCUCCGAUCGGCAGUAGCAUCGUCUCAUUUCUAAAUGUAUUAGUCACCUUAAAGUGGUUUCUAAAUGGGAUUAGUCGCCUUGCAAUUUUGCGCUACAGUAUACAAAAUUCUCGCAGCAACUAAACAUUAACUUCCCUACAGGCCGCAAUCGACAAAGCAUGGUCAAAUACGACGGUAGUAGGUACAACACUGCACGAUCACGAUACCAAAUUACAAAUUACAUCAUAUGCUUUUACCAUCGAAACCGUGACAAGCGAACCGCAAAAAUGCAGCAACCACAUUAGGCACGCCUGAAGUAUGCAUAGUGAAAAAUGGCCAACGCAUCAAACAAAAGACUCGCAUGCAACAAAAAUGCACAAACCAAAUUAGGCACGCAUGAGAUGCAGUUUAGCAUAGUGAAAACGCCUGACGCAUCAAACACAAUUCAAUAUACGGUAUUUAACUGGCAACAUUGUUCUUGCAAAGGCCACUGCGAAAACAUGUUCACCAAAGGAAGAAGUCAAGCAGAUGACAGCAAUGCUUGAGGGCAAAAAACUGCAACGCAGAAUAAACCUCAAGCCUCAAUUACAACAGAAGGAGCAAAUUGAAAUUUCCACAUCUAUCACCUAGGAGCUUUCCACAUUGCAAACCCAAAAAAAAAAAAAGUAAACCUAUUUUGCUUUAUGUAAUUGAAUCUGGGCAAAGAAUCUAAACGAUUAUUUCAAUUCCAGUUAACCUAAUGCCAUCUAAAUGAUGACUACACCGUACCAUUUCCAAAAUACUGAACUGAUGCCAUUGACAUUGCCUGACAAACAUGACCAUCGAGCCAGCCAUCAAAAUUUGCCUCUUAUAAGGUUAUGAAAUUUGUUAUUCAACACCUCCAAUCAAGUAGGCCAACACUUGGAUGAUACUCAAAUAAUCAAUAAACUGAGAAAUCCUUAUUGAUGAGCAACAAGAUGGAUGGAUCCUUCUGUUGAAAACUGAGUGCAACAGUUGAAAACUGAACGGCAGGGCAGAAACAUGAGCAUAAUAGAUGGAUCUUCCCAGCACAGUUACAUGAUCAUGACAUACCUAGUUGGGAUACUAAAGGAGUUUGAUGGCUAUUUUUAAUGAAAAUGAAGAUCCACUGCAAUGCUAACAUCACACAGAAUAAGAAGGCAAUGGAUGGAGGGCCAAGAAAUGAAGUCCAAAGCCUACAUAUGCUGUUAAGACUUGAAUAACUAUCAAAUAUCAAUAGCAAAUUUUAAAUCAGAAUUUGCACCUCGAUGCUUCUUCAAACUGACGAUCAGCUGGCUAGAAGAUAGAAUAAUCAUAUGACGGUGCAGAUUUUGCAAGGAGGAAAUCAACUUUAAAAUGAAAGUGACCCCUCCAGCCGCUGUCAUAUGAAUCACUAACGGGUAGAAGAAUAUUGCUAAGCCCAAAAUCAACAAUAGCAGAAUGAUAAAUAACAAAAAAAGCACCAGCCACCUGCAAGAUGAGAAUAAAAGAACCUUUAAACACAUGAAACAGAAGCAAAUAAAUAAAAAGACCAAUAAACAGUAGUAAAUAUAGAUAAACAGAUAAGAGAUGAUGCAUACCUCAUUGAGGAUGGCUGAGCCUUAUAACCCUUGUACAGAGAGGAACAAUGUCCAAAUAACCAUGCAACAAUGCCGUUGAAGAUGAUGUAUGUUAAAGGAGUCAGAAGAUACGAGCACCUCAUACAUCUUCAGUAACUUCUGUAUGUGGAGCAACUCGAGCAGGCCUUCACUCCGCAGAAAAAGGAACAUAAGUGGCAACCAAGUAAUAUUCAUAACAGUGUUCACCAGCAUCCACUUAACUCUAGUUCUAUGUAGACACAUAAAACCGUACAAUUCAGUAAACCAAGACCCGACAAACAAAGGUUUUGUUGUUGCCACUGAACAUGGUAGCACAAAUAGCAGGAACAAGCAGAUAAACAUCCUUCAGAUUUCAUGUUGAAAUAUCAACACCGUGAAGAUCUAGUUGGUCUGCAUCGCAUCUGCAUGGUAUUUCUCCAAGUCAGCAUCAAGUUCUUCAGCAGACUUUGGCUGGCUACGCUCUUUGCCACGGCGACCACCGGAUCCACCAGGACCACCACUGCCUCCUCCGCCACCACGGCGCCUCCCACCCCCCCUUGGACGAGGUCUACCCUGCGGUAGUCCAGCUGGGCCACCCCUUGGUGCACUGUAACAUUUCAAAAACAAUAAAGGUAAGUUGGCAAGAUCUUAUAUGAACUGGAGAAUGAUCAGAAGUGCACACAAAAUAACAAGAACGUUUUGAAAAGCAAAAAAACAAAUCAAUCGAUAAUGAGAUAUCAACAUCUCUGAUACAUAGAUACAAUUUUAGGCUUUUAGCAACAAGUGCAAUUAUAAACAAUUAACAGAAAGCAUCACAAACAACCAAUGUAUAUAAUCAGUCACCAUGUUUGACUUGAAUAAAAAAUUCAUGUGCAAGAAUUUUCUGAAGAUGAUGAAAUGAAAUGAAAAAUCAUGCAAGUGUUAUUUUGUGGAGCACAGAUAUCAAAUUAUAGAAAAUACUCAGUAGUAUUUUAGCAUCAGCCCUCACAAUCAAAAUACAUCACAGCAGUGAUGAGCAAUCAUGCAAAACUUUAGCAUACAAACAAAUAAAGGAUAAUGUAGCAAUCCGAACAUACCUCUUAGCAACAUUUCUAACGUAGCCUCCGUUAUUUGCUGGAAGAGCAGCUGCAGCUGUAGGAGUAUUGGUCCCAAGAAUCUCUAUUUUCAUUGGCUUACCAUCAAGUUGCACAUUGUUAUAUUUCUUCACUGCUGCGACAGCAUCGCCACGCCUUGCAAAUACAACUUCAGCUGUUCCCUGGAAGGGAUAGACAAAAGUCAGGCUAUCACAUAAAAAACAAAAAAAAAAACAAAUGCAUGUAAAGAAGUGUAAGAUUGAAUCUGUACCUUAGACCUCCCACUUCUGUCAUAGUGAAUUACGUAUUUCUUAAGAUCACCUAAUUCAGAGAAAAGCUCCUGCAUCAUUAAAAAAUAAAUAACUCAGAAAAAUGCUUAAGGGAAAAACAUGUCACAUGAAGAUUUCAGGCAAUUUCUACUGGCUAAUGAUAUCUACUUAAAUGAUCACAUUGACAUGGAAUUUGAUGAAAUAGGACAGUAAAAAAAUAUCCUAGAAGUAGACAAUAAUUAAUUGUCUUAAAAAAUUCAAAUAACCCAUGGGUCAACAUACAAAUCACUAACUAGAGCAUAUCACUAUCUUUGCACAAAUUAAUCAAGACCUUUUUUCAGAGGAAAAAAGAUCAGAUCUCGAUGGACCAGAAUUAUUUAACAUCAGAUCGAAGCUAGCAGUAUGAACAAAACCAAAAUAUUGCUGGAAUUUUACACAUGUUCAUGCUAGAUCUGGCGAAUAGCUUAAGCUAAUCACAUAUGCAACCAAAUAUCUGCUUUCCUCUAGCGCUAAUUGCUCAGAAGCGACUAACUCAACGCGAUUAUUAUAUACCUUGAUAUCCUCGGUCGAGACGCCGAAGUCCAAAUUGGAGAUGUAGAGCUUGGUGCCAGUCUCGAUAGCCGAGACCCUCCCGCCUCCGCCGCUGCCGCCGCCGCCGCCUGCCGCGACAUCCGAGUACAUGUCGUGCUGCCACGCCGAUUCAGGGGCCUGGAUCGCGUCAUACCACAGUGAGAAAACCACCCGACCAUCCAUCCACAUCCUUCCCCGCCUCGCCGUCGAAAAGCGGAAGCCCAGCUCCUCCGCCGACGGCGCGCAGCAAACCCUAGCCCCACGUUCGAUCCGUUGCUGUUCGUACCUUGGGCGGCUGGUAGGGCCCCGCCCUGUUCCCCGACCUCUUGAAGGGCCGCCUCGUCGGCCCCACGCCGCCGCCGCCGCCACCACCAACACCCCCACCCCCGCCGCCGCCGCCGCCAGCGGCAGAUCCGCGGCGGCCGCGGCCGGACGAGGGGUUGGCCUUCUUGUUGUUCUUGAUGAUGUCGUCGAGCGUCAUGUCGAGGGUCUCCGCCAUGGCGGCUGCUCGGGGGCGGGUAGAUCUGGCGCGCUAGGGUUGGGCGAGCGAGCGAGCUCGACGACGAACGAAGAGGCGGCGGAUUCGGGAUUUGGGGGGUGGAGGCGAGAGCGGCGUUAGGGUUGGGGAAUUGGGAGAUUUUUUUCGUCUUUUCGGUGGCGGGCGCGAUAAAAAUAAAGGGGGGAGACGGACGCGUAGGGAUAACGCGUGGUGAGGCGGUCGCGAGAGAGACCCACGACUCCACGAGGGCGUGAUGCGGACGGGAAGGAGAGGAGAGGCACUGAUUGGAUUGGAUAUUGGGAUGCCUGCAGUGCCGGGUCGGGGUCUGGCUCGGGGUCGCCUCGUUCCGUUGUUCCGAGUAUUUCUCGCUGGAGUAUCUUGGGUUCGACCUCGAGUGCUUAUCUUCCUCAUGUUCUUUUUUUUUCGUGGCAAGUCGGCAAAGUCGGUUGACUAGUACUCACUCUCUGUUUCUCAAAAUAUGAAGGUUUUUAAUAUUCAGACUUUAUAUCAUAAUAUAAGCAAUUCAAAAUUCAAAAGGUAACAAAGUGACUUAAAAGAAAUCUUUUUGACGUAAACUUAGUAUUUCCUAGAUAACCCAGGAAUCCUUAUAUAUCGUAAUGGAGGAGUAUUUGGGACAACCACAUGUCGAUAAAAAAAAUAUUUUAAAUGAUAUCAUUUAAAGUACUCCAUCCGUUUCACAAUGUAAGUCAUUCUAUAAUUUCCCACAUUCAUAUUCACAUUCAUAUUGAUGUUAAUGAAUCUAGACAUAUAUAUCUAUCUAGAUUCAUUAACAUCAAUAUAAAUGUGUGAAAUGCUAUAAUGACUUACAUUGUGAAACGGAGGAAGUAAUAUACAUAUAUAAUAAAAUUUCCUACUGCACAAUAUAGAAAAGAGCUAGUAAAAAAUGAUUGUCUACUAGAAAGAGAAGGUACGAGAGAUGGAAACAUUCUUUUAUGUACAGAGAUAGAGGUAGCAAGCGCAUAAGGGGAAGCAAUUGAAAUCAAAUAAAAAAUGUGAUGCCAUAUUUUUAGAAAAUGUGAACUAAUAUGGACAAUUGUGUUAAUAAAAAAACAUUUGGAUUAUGCAUGCAAGAUAGUGAGUUAAGUCUCACGCAUUGAUCUGUUGAGUAGAAAAAUGGACAAAGUAACAAAAUAAAACUCUUAUAUGUAUGUGUCCUUAGUGUUUAAAAGCUGGAGCUAGAAAAUACCUCUAAAGUUUCAAUGUUCAAAAUUUAGCAACAGCUGAUAAGCAAACAGGAAGAUACGGAAGUUCUUCUACAGAUAGAUGCGAGAAGGAAGAAGAAUACUAGUGUAUGAUAUGUGUGGGCAGUACAAGUUUAGCCACCAACAUGGCAUAAAAAUAGGUGAAACUUGCCCAAACUUGAAAGUCCAGGUGGGAAAUACUCAGUCCGGUAGCACGUGAUGAAAAAUGAACAUCCGGCGAAGUUUCGAAGGCCGUGAAUAAACAUGUGCUCUUUCUUAACCCCAGUUGCCACUAGAUGGUCAUAAUUAAUCUCAGAGAGAACCUUGGAGGUUGGGGCCGUACAUAGCACAAGUUCAGUCUUUUGCAUGAAACACCUUGUGGGAGAACUGGAGAAGACAGUGGAAGAUACUUUUCUCAAGCAGACACCAAAACUAUAAUUUCUCCCAUGUAUAAAAGGAGAUCCGAUCGUUUCGAUGCUAGAAAGAGAGAGAGAAAAAAAAACUCCCGUCUACUGCUCCACAUGGCCGUGUUUGGGAUCCAAGUUGGCGUGCAUGUGCUCCCACCAAGGCACCAGCCAGGCUCCACCAAGCCUGCCUUAUUCUUGGAUCGAUUCACUGAUUCACUCAUUAAUCUAUCUUCAUUGUCUGAGUGCGUGCGUACAGUCUGUUCAUGCACGCGUCUGAUUUUUGGUAGAGAUAGUAACCGCCACUGAACUGCCAUUAGCAAGAGACGCAUGGAGUUUUGGACACAGAAAACAACGGCAGUAAACUAUACAAGUUCUGGUUUUAUAUUUAUUCUGCGAGUUUGAUUUGAUCGCAACAAUGUUUGCUUACAACUGCAAUUGUGUUGCUGUUCAUGAUGAUAACGAUUGUAUCCGAGCAAAAAUUUGUCUUUUCGGUCAAAUGCCAAGACAGCUUCGAUCCAACCAGCCUCACAUUCCAUGCAACAAAACCUUCCAAGAGUGGACUCAGGGCCUGUUUGGUUGGUGACCUGACACACAUGCCUGAUGAAAACUCAUGCCUGAAGCUAGCCUGAAAGUUUAAAGACAUUUGCCUGACCAGGCAGCCUGUGAGAUGAGUUGUUUGGUUUGAACCAUGUGCCUGAGAAGAAUAAUGCAACGUCAAACUGUAAUAAUUACUCUUAACAGAUAAUAUUAACUCAACAAACAUGAUCAAUCGGUGGGAAGAAUGAAAAAAGCAAGAAAAAGAAAAAGUAUGUAAUUAAUAGUGGGACCCAUAGCUUUCACAUCACCUUAAUCUUGCUAGCUUCUCACUUGUCUGAGUCAGGCGUUGGAAUUUCGUCGCCUGAGCCAGGCUAAUCAAAGCGGCUAGCUGUCAGGUCAGGCUACCGCAGGAACACCCAGGACGCCAACCAAACAAGGUACAGGCAUGUCUCAGGCAAGCAUCUCAGGUCAGGCACAAACACGAGGGCAGCAACCAAACAGGCCCUCACACAGUCAGCUUCAGCCUGGAAAGGCUGGAUUAGUAAUUAAAAAGGAUAAUACGCGUCAUGUCGCAUCAAAAGAUGUCGAGAAAGUAGGCAAUAACAAAGGACGUAAAGCCUAUCAGUGCCUCAUCAAGUUGGGUGGAUUGGCGCCAAACAAAGAAAAGCACUAUAACAACACAGCCAACCGAUAUGGAACAUGUUACACACUGGCCUUUUGGACAGACUAUCAACUAGAGCAAAUAAUGGAAGAGCUGAUACAGCUGUAGGAGGUCCAAGACAAAAAAGAAAAAAGGAAAAAAGAAAAAAAAAAGCAGUUGAAACAAUAAAGAAUAUGAGAGGAAGUUUGUGUAGAUUACAGUUUCAAUUUGACAUUUCUUAGUAAUUGUGAUGACAGUUUCAGAUGAGCCCCAUUGACCCCGGAACAUACCACUAGACAUAGUUGUAAACAACGUACAAAAACACAAACUCUUUUACUUGACCCUUUUAGUAUCCUGAAUGAUACGGACCAUCGGACGCUCACACUUUCUGGCAUAUAUAACUUCUCCAAGUAUAAUAUAUCUCUAGAAAGAAAUCAACCUCAGCGGAAGCCGCCUUCCGUCCAAUAGGAGCCACCGGUGGUUCCGUUCUGAUUGCUCCCCUUGCUGGGGGUGCUGUGAUUGUAACUAUCAAAAUUGUCAUCCUUCCCAUCAUCCCAGCCGGCCCAGGAGUCACUGCUUUGGCGUUCUUUCGCAGGCUCAUCCUUCUUGACUGGCUCAUCCCAAUCAUCCCAGGAAUUGGAAUUGUAAUUCUUUGAUGAACCAUCAUGAGAAGAAGAAUUCCACCCAUUACCAUUGGUCUCACGCUCAAACCUAUGGUAAGGCUCACUGCCCUGCUCCCUGCGUUGCCAAUCAUCCCCCCAGCCAUUCCCACCUUCCUUGGCAUACUCCUCAACCUUUUGUGACGCUAACGCCAUUACCCCUUUCAUAAUUCCCCAUGUUCUACUUCCAAUCUCUGCGGUUUUAUUGGCAACAACAUUUACAGUUUCAUUCACCUUCUGAUCAUAGCCCCCUUCCCUCAUCUGCAUUCCAGACAAGCACAAAUCAUUAACUGUGUAAGACAAGGACAAAGCUCUCCGGCAAAUAAUCUUAAACACAACAUGUUUUAUUUAGUUCAAUAUAGUCCAUAGUAACAUUGAUUCUUGAGGAGUAAACGAUGAUCACGAGAUUUCAAUAAUUAAGUCCUUGAUAGGAAAAUGAGGUGGGAAAUAUAAGCAAAAAUGUACUCACUUAAUAAUGCUGGUAGAAGAAUAUGGCUCAAGAUACAGUAUAAAUGAUAUUAAGAGAUUAGGCUUGAUGUAAGACAAUAUCAAGGAGACACGCCAGUAAAGAUCUAUUCAUCUAUAUUCCAGUAUUCUGAUGAGUGCAGGUUAAUAUAUCAUUACAAUCAGAUUGAACCAUGCAACUAGGUAAGCACAGUAAACUCAGAGAAAUCCAUGUUCUAUAAAAAAACUAUACUCUGGAAAUUCAACUUGGGAUAUUACAAAAUCAGCUGACAAACAAAAGGUACCUUUGAUUGGAACUCUUUUGUGCCAACUUGGACAACACUGGCAGCAGACUGGGCAGCAGAUGCUGCAACUAGUGAAAGCCGUCCAAUUCCCUGGAGAUGAAAUGGUAUAGGAGUUAAACUGAUGGACAGAUGAAAAUAAAAGGUGUAAUACUGGCACAACUGCGUCUAACUAGAUACACACAUCACCCUAAUACUGAAUAAUAAUAAUAUCAAGAACUGUUUAACCAACACACAGAUUUAACCUGGACUCAACAAAGAUAAUGAUAUAUGCUAUUUUGUGGGCAUAUUAGGAAGAGUAUUACAAAUAAAACGGCUUAAGCAUGCUUAACUAUUCUAUAUAUUGUCCAUUUGGCACAGCGAACUCUAUUACAACAGUGUCUUCAAAAGCUACAUUUUAGUCGCUGCAGGAAACAGGGCAUAUCAAAUUUUCAAGGUGAUGCUAAGACCUAUUGGCAAAGAAUGUAUAGCUUGACAAAGGCCACCCAAGAUACAAAAGUAAGCUUAAAAAAAGAGCAGUGUAAUUAUAUCUAAGAGAGAACCUCAGUUCACAAUUUCAUAGCAUAAAAUUAACAUAAGUAAAAGAUGAUAUAUCAUUGGCAACAGAAAUGACUUCAGGGAAGAAAGCAGCAAGUGAUGUUCAUGUAACAAUUGCUGCAAUAGUGCAAUACUGCCAUUCAACCUCAACCUAGUAAUACCAUGAGCAUCUAUAGCGUUUUAUCACUUGUAGAUCUAAAGAAACCAGAUUUACGAUACAACAGUAUAUCCCUUUGCAGAUAGAUGAUCUAAAUCCCUUAACUACGAAAAAUACGUUACAAACUGGGUAAGCACAAAUUUGUAUUUACUCCUUUGAAGAAAGAUGAUCUAAAUCCCUAAACUUCCACGUUAUAAAUUGGGCAUGCGCAAAACUGUUUAUUGCAACAGUUAGCUAAACAUAUAUAGAAGUAUAGAACAAGUAAUACCGACGUAGCAAGAAUUUUUACCUGGGAGACGACCUGCAUGACAUCACCCUGAGCAGCAGCGCCGUUCCGAUUCGCCGACGGCGCCGGGCUGGAGCCGAACCCGACGUAUUUCCCACCCUGCGAGGGCGGGAUCCCCUCGGGCUUCGACUCGUUCUCCGCCAUCCUCCUGGCGAAGAAGCUGUCCUUGUUGGCCGCCGACGCCUCCAGCUGCUGCCUCGUGUACAUGUCCUGCGUCGAUUUGGACCUCGGCGGCUGCCUCCCUGAUUCCGCCCCCGACUCACCGAACGACCCCACCGACUGGUUCCUCCUCAUGUCGGGCCGGAAAUCGUCGUCCCAGUCAUCCCAUCCGCCGCCGCCGCCGCCGCCGCCUCCGGCGGGCAAGGGUGGCUUCCUGGUGGGGGCGGGCGCGCCAGAUCCGGGGGUCUCCUUCACGACGGGCGGGUCGGUCCACGGGCGGCCCUCGGCGACGGCGACGAUGCGGUCGCGGUACGCGGCGGCGGCGUUGGAGUUGUACUUGGCGACGUGGGGGGUCUCCUUGGGCACGCCCCGCGCGGCGAGGAAGGCGUUGAGGCGGUCGUUGCCGCCGGCCUCCAUCUUGCGGAGCUGCGCCUCGGUCCACGAGUCCAUGGUGACGGAGCGGACGAAGCUGAUGUGCACGCCGAGCCCCCGGUGCUUGCCCGAGCACUCGAGGCACAUGAACACCCCGUACGAGACGCUCGCCCACUGCGGGUUCCGCUGCGCGCAGUCCACGCACGUCUUGUUCCCCGCCUGCCCCUGCAGCUCCCGUAGCCGCCUCGCCGCCGUCGACGCCAUCGCCGCCGGAUCGGAUCUCGGAUCCGGGAGGAGAGGAGGUGGGUGGUGGUGGUGGUGGUGAUGGUGGCCGCGGGACGCAAGGCGAGGGGAAAGGGGGAAAGAGUCGCCGACACGAGACGGGGGGAUUGGUCAAAUACGGGCUGCGUGGACGCUUUUGCCCCCCGUCACUGCCCCCGGGCGGUGGCGAGGCAGUCCCGGUAAUAACGCUCGCUCGAGCAGGGGUAGGUUUGGGAGUUCGGUAAGCCGUGGCCGAACCGGAGAAGGGGUAUCCUCUCCCGUGUCGCCGAUACCCCGGGCCCAGCGCGCAGGUGGUAGAGGAGGCUGCUACACAUGGAACGUACGAUAUUUAGCAAAAAAAUCGGACGUUGUUCACCCACAUAUCUGACUAUAUAUAAAAAAAACUAUAGUAGUUAAGCAGCUACGCUGCAAGCCUAUACCCUACUCUCAUGCAUGUAUACAUGUAAUCUCUCUCUUUAUUUUCUGUACCCUUUAAACUUUUUCGUUCUAAAUUACUUAUCCGAUUUUACCAUUGUGUUCUUUACAAUUAAAUUUUUACAACAAAAUCUUACUUGGCUAUAUUUCUGAUAAAAUUUAUAAAUAUGAUUAUAUUACUAACUGAAACAUUUAUAUAUUAAUAGAAAAAAUACACGUGCGUUGCAAUGGGAGAAGGCUAUUUUAAUCGUAUUAUUGUUAGAUUUUUUUUAUUUAAAAGGUAUAUGGGAUUUUUAUUUUGGAGUAUAGAUAUCUAAUUCAGAAUCCUUAUUAGGAUGAUGGUUAGUUGGUUACAUCCUGUACAUGCUUUAUUAUGGUCUGGUGAGAAUUUUGAAACAAUUAGGAGUCCGACUCUCGUCCCAAGUUAGCAUGCGAGAUUUUUAAAAGAAUUUCUUAUACGACUACUUAUGUAUUUCCAAAAAACGAACAAACUUAAAAACUAACUCAAAUAAGGACGACGUAUCAAAGUAUCAGCGGAAACAUCUUCAAUUUUUAUAAUAGUAGAGAUACGUGAAACAAGAAGUUAUAAUUAUUAAAACAUUAGAAAAUAUUCACUGCAACAUCCCAAUCAACACGUGCAACAUUUAUAAAUGAAUUACCGAAACAUCCAAUAAUACCACAUGCAACAUUCACAAAUAAACUAGUGAAACGUCAGAAAAAUAUUUAUUGAAACAUCGAAAUAAUGCCAUGCAACAUUUUAUAUGUGUUUUAGAAAAAUCAACCUUUUGUUGCACCAUAAAAUUGUUUUAUCACUUGUACGGAUAACUCAGCCCACUCUAAAAAAAUAUUUCUGAGAGAUGUAACUUAUAAAAAUUACUAAAUGCAACAAUAACCACCGUCACAUGAAACAUUAGGUCCCAACUAAUGAAACAUAAAAAAAAGAUUCAAUAUAUUUGCAAAUAUUGAUUUGUUAAAAUUUUAUAUCAUUCUUGAAACGUUAACCUGCAAUUUUUGAAGCAUAAAAAAAUAUUUGCUGAAACAUAUAAAUAGAUCAUGUGCAACAAUAACUAUAUAAAAAUUAUUGGCUACAAUAAUAACCACCAUUACAUGAAACAUUAGGUCCUACAUUUGAAAACAUAAAAAUAUAUAUAAUGCAACAUAUUUGCAAAUACUUUAUUUUGUUAAAAUUUUAUAUCACUCUUGAAGCGUCAAGUUGUAUUUUUUGAAACACAAAAUAUAUUUAUUAAAGCAUAUAAAAAGACCACAUGCAACAUUACAUCUGAAUUAGUGAAACAUGAGUAAAUACUUAUUGAAACAUUGGAAUAACAUUAUGUGAUAAAAAUCAUCGGAAUAUUGUCAUGUGAGAUCUUGUUAUAAAGAGUUAAUUGUAACAAAUCCAAUAGUAUAAUUAGUUCAUAAUUCCGAUAAAUAGUUUAAGAGAAAAGAUCAUUUAAAUUUUAAAUCCAUGUGACUUGCAUGUACUUGUCAUUUAAAUUGGAUGCAUACACUUGUCAUGCACCUGCACUACUACUACUCCAUUGGUUGCAUGCAUUUUUCCUCCUUCCUCGGAAGUAUGAUGAUAAGCAUUUUCGGGAGAGUUCCAGAGUUUGCUGGUGGUGGUGGGGGAAAACGUACGAAACAAUCGGGGAUGAAUGAAUGGGUGAUUGAUUCGGUUGGCGCGUCGUAGCGAGCGAGCGCGAGAGGCGCGGGUGGCCACCGGACGCGGCGUUGUUUCGGGGCGACGCACAGGUGGGUGGGUGGAUGGCCUCCGAGCACCGCGCGGCCCGCAAAACACUCCCAUCCAACGGGGGCGGACGCUCCUCUUCCUCAUCUUCUCUCGCACAUCACAAAGAGGCUGAGACGUCUCACCAUUUACGAGUUCCUUUUUUUCGUGAACCAAAUCACACCUCGCCUGCAGUGUCUCGUGUCCCAGAACGCGAUUGCGUUUUUUUUUUGCACGUUUGGUUUCCAUAUCCCUCGUCUCUUGUACUCCCUUACCCACAUUUGGCCUAGCCGGAGGCGGUAGCCAGGGCCCAGGGCUGCUUCUUAUGGCCGCGCAGGAGAUGGAGGUUAUGAUGGUUGCGAUGGCGGCGGAGGCGCCGGUGGCUGUGGAGGUGGAGGCGGUUCCGGCGGUGGCGGGGGGGCUAAACGCGACGGUGCCCGCGUUGUACGUGGGCGAUCUCCACGAAAGCGUGCGGGAGGAGCACCUGCUCGAGGUGUUCGGCAAGAUUGGCACCCUCACGUCCGUGCGCGUCUGCCGCGACAAUGCCACGAGCAACUCCCUCAGAUAUGGAUACGUGAAUUACCUCUCCCAGGCUGACGGUAUACAAAAAACCUGUGCAUGAUCUGUGUCUUAUUAAUUUAUCUCAUGUGCUAUUAGCAUUAUUUUGAUCGGGUUAAGUGCAUAAUUGAGUUUUGCAUAGAGGUGGUCUCAGUACUCGUGCAAAUCAAAACACUUGGUAUAUUUACAAAUCUGCAUGACAUUUUGUAUGAACAAUGUGUCACUGAACAAGUUAAAUAACCCAGAUCAUCGCACUUAUUUUAUUGACAGUGUGGGGGUUGAUGCAUGCAUGCUAUCAUAUUAACCGUUAUACUAUUAUCCAUAGAAGUAGUUGGAUGUAUUUUAGGAUGUAUAGCUUGUGUUCCGCUAGCUGCUGCCACAUGAUAGAAUUCUUAGUUUUAAGAAUGUGUGCGGGCAUCGCUUGUUCCUUUCUUUCAACUAAAAAGGUGCGAAAAUCUGAUCAUAUGCCCUUCGCCUAGAUUAAAAGUAUUUACCCUUUUGGCCCACAUGCAAGCCAAUCUCCCAAAACAAUGUGUUGUUCACUAAUUAUGUUAAACAAAGAAGUUACAGAGGAAUUGAAGUUGAUGUGGUCAUGUCAAAUAAGGUUUAGUACAAUGUAUCCUGUAUCAACAUGAUGAGGUCGAUUAUAUUGUUUAACAUAUAUCUUCUUGUUACAUUUGUCACUUUGAUUUUUAAGAGUUGUAUUUGUAAUGAGAUGUAUAAUGAUUUAUCUUAUUCUUGAAAAAUAACUCUUUAUUUUUUUAAUCUACUUUUAUUAGUUUGUAUGCAAGUCAUUAAAUUGACCAUCGCUAUCUUGUUGUGACUUUUUAUUUUGUAACAUUUGCUUAUAUUUUGUAUUAUUGAUUUAUUUUGUAUUGAAAUCCUAGAAGCAACUUAUCCAACCAUGUGUGCCUUUCAAUUCAUGCCAUGUUUUAUACUAAUGAUUUAGCACUUACUUUAAUGUUCUUGUUAUCUAACCAACUUUUCUUGCUAAUGGAUAUUGAUAAAAUUCUCAUUACUUUUUAAACAUUUGAUAGCUGCAAUUGCUUUGGAGAAACUAAAUCAUAGUCUUAUUUUGGAUAAGCCGAUCAGAGUAAUGUGGUCUAACCGAGAUCCAGAUGCUAGGAGAAGUGGGGUUGGAAAUGUGUUUGUUAAGGUAAAAAAACAAAUUCCUCACUAUAUACUUUCUUGGUGUAUAUUGCCAUAUUUAACUGCUACUUUACUAUGGCAUUUUGCAGAAUCUUAAUGAUUUAGUUGACAAUGUAAGUCUACAAGAAUUAUUUUGCAAGUUUGGAGAUAUAUUAUCUUGUAAAGUCGCUAAAAAUGAGGAUGGGACAAGUAGAGGCUAUGGAUUUGUUCAAUUUGCGUUGCAAGAAUCAGCAGAUGCAUCAAUUCAAAAUCUUAACAACUCUCAUUUUUGUGGCAGGCAAUUGUAUGUUUACUUCUUUAUUAUUACUCGUCUUUGUUAUUUGUUUAUUCUUUGUCCGGUCAUAGUUUGGUUUACAAUUAUGAUCAUAUUUAUGCAGGCAUGUUGCUACAUUUAUUAAGAAGAGUGAACGAUCUACAAACAAUGAUGACAAAUAUACUAACCUAUACAUGAAGAACCUUGAUGAUGAUAUAACAGAGGAACUUAUUAAGUUAAAGUUCUCUCAGUAUGGUUUAGUAAUUAGUGUAAAGAUAAUGAAAAGAGAUGAUGGGACAUCUAAGGGCUUUGGGUUUGUAAGUUUUCAAAACCCAGAAAGUGCCAAAAGAGCAAAAGAAUCCAUGAACGGGAUGCUACUUGGUAAUAGUCCACUUAUGAUAUUAAAAUAAUUAAAUAGUGAAAAUUCAUUAAGUAGUGAAACCUUAUUAUUCUAUUCAAUUUGAUAUACAAUUGUUUGUGAAUUGUUUUAUUAGGAUCAAAAACCUUGUAUGUAGCAAGAGCUCAAAAGAAAGCUGAAAGGAAACAAUAUUUGCAACGCUUACACGAGGAGAAGAGAAAUGAAAUAAUCACCAAGAGCAAUGUAAGUUCCAUUUGCCCUCUACAAUCUGUUUUUUUCAUCUAAAAAUGCAUCUCUCUUUUUUUAGGGGUCGAAUGUCUAUAUAAAAAAUAUUAAUGAUGAAGUUGGCGACGAUGCUCUCCGUGAACGGUUCAAUGAAUUUGGAAACAUUACAUCAGCAAAGAUUAUGCGUGAUGAAAAGGGUAUUAGCAAAGGAUUUGGAUUUGUAUGUUACAACACACCUGAGGAAGCAAAAUGUGCUGUAAGCAACAUGCGUGGUAAAUAUCCUAUGUCAUUUCCCAUUAACGCAUGAAUAAGUGUGUACUUGCCUCAUAUGUCAACAAAUUUUGUUUGCUCGGAUUAAUCAGGUGUAAUGUUUUAUGGCAAACCAUUGUACGUUGCUAUUGCUCAAAGGAAAGAGGAAAGACGAGCCAAACUAGAGCAACGUUUUGCUGAGCUUGCAACGAUGGUUGGAGCUACAAGUCCUGUCAUACCCACAGGAUAUCCUCAAUUUUACUUUGCCCACCCUAGUACACAUCUCCCUCAAAGUCCAGGGAGACAAGGAUUUAUGUAUCCACCCAUAGGGAUUAGUCAAGAAUGGAGGCAUAACAUGUUUCCCUCGUCACAUAAUAUCCAACAAAUACAUUCACCGAUUGUAUGUCCUUGUCCUGCUUAGCUCAAAUUACAUGUUUUCAAGUGAACUUCUAUUAAAAUCUUAUUCUUUCUUUGUAGAUGCGAAAUACUCCACGGCAAUACAGAAACAACAGGGGAAGGAUGAAUGGAAAUAUGAUGCAUUUUCACCACACUGUGAACUAUGUUCCACAUGCGCAGCCAGCUAAAGAAUUCAUGUCCAUGUCCCGACAGGUAUACUCGGUCUACUUCAUGUCUUCAUCAUGUUGGUUUUUAGUGUUUUUGCAACAGUGCUCUAUUUCAAUUAGUUUCAAACUUCCAUAGUUUUUUUUUCAACAACAUUAGUCUCUACUAUUGUAAGCAAAAGCUUUUAUGCUUAAUUGUAAGUUUAGUAUUAUUAGAUUAUCAUACUCACUAGAUGUUGUUAUGUGACAUGUCACUAUGAACUAAGUUGUUCAUUGGACUUUGUAGCAUUUUGUUACGAAGAGUUUAACAUGCUAUCCUUUUGAAUUUACGCAGCGAUUUAGCCAUGCUAAGUAUAUUCCAAAUGACAUCAUGGCCAAUGGAUUGGCUAUUCAUCAUGGUGACUCUAUUUCAUCGAUGAAUGACGCUUUUAACAACCUGCUAGCUACUGCUCCACCCGAGGAACAGAAGAACAUGCUUGGGAAUAGACUAUAUCCGUUGGUUGAGAGACAUCAUGUAAAAUAUUUUGCGCAUAUGUUACAUUGACAUACCUUUUCACUUAUAUUUGGAAUAUUAAAGGGACAUACUUUUAUAUUAAUAUGACACGCCUUGUUUUUUGCAGCCUGACCUUGCCAGUAAAAUCACUGGAAUGUUACUUGAGCUAGGUAAUUCUGAAGUGGUCAUGCUACUUUACUCAUCAAACAUGUUGUCUGCCAAAAUAGAGGAGUGUGUCAAACUGCUCCAAGAGGUAAAACCCAAACCUGAAGAUCAAGAGGCCCUGCACCCUGGUUUCCUCCUAGACUCUGCUGGUGUAAACGCCAACUAAGAAUUCAAUGCCAAUCCAAGCUUUUGACCGUGCUAAAUAUAUUAUGUAUUUGUGUUUUAGAGAUGCUAAUUAGAUAGAUGCUCUUUAUUUCAUAGUUUAUGGAACUAUAUUAUUGGGCUUGUUAUAGAACUUACUAAUAAUGCCUAGGAUUUAGGUAGAAAUCUCGGGAGUUUUUCUUAAACGGAGCUUGUUACGAAUCUUAGAUAAUAAAUUAUAUAUGAUGGUGUUCUUGUGUUAUAUAUAUUUUAUUUGGUUUAGUGGGUUGGUUCUUAAUUUUUAUGGAUGAUUCGAAAGUGUUUGGAAGUUAUGCUGCCUAUAACUAUCUUAAUCAGGUUGAUCGAAAAGUUAGAGACCAAAUACUCAUUGUAUUUAUUUAUUUCCUUUUCUUUUCUUAUCAAGACAUUGUACAGCUUAGGUAAAAUACAAUAGAAAUAGUGUUUUACUUGGUUACAUGUUGGUAGCCGAUUGGCUUACGUAGAGAUAGUGGUGAAUGUGUUUGACGAAUUGAAGUGUAUUGUAUACUACAUGUGUCUUCCACAGACAAUUGAGUCUUUGCACAAAUGCACCAUGUAAUGCAUGGAUGUUGCAAGCUUGCAUUAUAUGAUAGCUCAUUGUGGAUGGCUUGUUUUGGCCCAAUUAUAAAGUUGCACGGUUACUUUAUCCCUUCCAAAAACUAUGGUGUAUACUAUAUUUUGGUUGGUAAAAACAUAAUGAACAUAAAAAACUAUUAAAAACAGAGGUGGUUUUCUUUUGAUGAUGAAAUGAAAUGCUUUCCAAGAAAGAAAUACAUGUUAACUGUAGCAUUCAGUUGACAAUAUUCCAUUCAUGUUCUAUAGUUUGUUUCAUUUCUAACUCCAUUGAGUUACUUGCUAUUAGCUUCUCGAGCGUCGCCAUCCAUCGGAAACUGAUUGGACUUGCUUUUUUUUUGUCUCAAACUUGUGGAAGCCAGAAAGAAUUUGCAUUGUUGUUGGUAGUACAUCAAAGUUGGUUGGAUAACUCUUUUUUUAAAAACUUAAUGGUUUUUAGUUGAUUCCCUAUUAAAGUUAACAUUUUUUGGAAAGAAUUCCAAUGUCUUUAGAACUCAUAUUCUAAUCUCAGAAUAAGACAUGAUUUGUGUUGUAUUGAGUUUUGUAAUGCAAACAAUGAUGUCGGAGGGUGAACUCCUCAAGCGGGGGAUUAUGAGACCCCCCCCCUUUAGUUUGGUUGGGGGCAGCGGGUGAGAAUCGAGGAUACGGUGGAAGAUGUGAUGUAGAAGGGGUCGGGCCCUGUUACGCCCUGAAAUUCAUGAACCAGAAUUUCUAAGCUGAAUGUGCAUUAAACCCCUAUCCAGGACCAGCCAGGGUACACAAACGACAAUUGUUGACAUACAGAUCCACGUCUUACAAAAAUACAAAAGAUUAUAAAUGCAGCGGAAAAGGAUAAAAGCGAGCUAAGCCUGAAGACUUGACACCUGCAGCGAGGCGACUCCAUUCCAAAGACAUCCUUGACGGCAGCGACGAAACCAACUUCAUCGAGACAUCUCCAACUGAGAAGAACUUCAACUCUAGGGUGGGGGAAAAGAGAGCAAGACUGAGUACUACCCACUGUACUCAGCAAGUCAUACCGGAAGAGGAGGUAUGAUGCAGGAAAUAUCCAAGGGAGGCUAAAGGUCCUUUUGCAUAAAGCUAGCAUUUAAAAGCAACAGCUGAAAGCAGUAAAACAGCUGUAGUAAUUAAUCAAUAUUAACCAAUCACUGCUCAACGCUACACCAUGUUGAGUCAGGCCCAAACCACCACCUGAACUAACCAGUUCAUUAGCUAACUAGGGUGAGACUAAUCACGGUGAAUCUGGUCGACUGCCCAUAACCGUGGGCACGGCUAUUCGAAUAGUUUUACUCUGAUUAGAGGUGUACAACUGUACCCACAAGACACAGCCCCACGACACGUUACCAUGUGCCGACAUGCCACCACGACAUACCGGAAAGAGGCCGUGACAGGACCCUUCGCAUAACCCCCUCUAACCGAUCGCACCACACCUUAGGGUUCGGCCCCGUCCCCAACAGGCAACGGGCAGCCCCCCUUUCGUGCCGCGGUGAAUCCGGAAGCCGAUCAACUGGACACCCCGGCCGACCCAACUCCAUCACGCCCACCCUCGCCUGGGUACGUCGGCUAGAGGAAAGCUACACUACAAGCCCAGCCGUUGCCCACGCUGGCUUGUGGUAAGUACGAUAAAUUCUUCUAGGGCCUCUCGCGAACCGGUCCUUAAUCGCCAUGGGCACGACUAGCAAAACCAUGCACCCACAGCCCACCAUGUAGUGUAUUUUAAUUAACUAACACCCUUGCGGUAGCACUAAUCCAAAGCUAUUGCCAAUAAUCAAAGUCUAUGCAUUAAUGUGAUUCCCCCAUUGUGUACUAGUUGAACUAAGUAUGGCUAAGCAUUCCGUAAACCAACAUCUAAGCAUCUUAAUACCCAAGUUAUCAAUGGCAUAAGGUAAACAAGAUAUGGCUGAGUAGUAGGACCCAUCCCACAUGAUAUUGUAAAACAAUGCAAUAUUUAAUAGAAAUGCGGGACAUUUGUAAAUUGGGUACAAUUUGAUCAAUCGUAAUGCAUGACUUGCCUUGCUCUCGCACUAAUGAGACCACAGCAACGUCUUCGAGAAACCGCAGAUCGACGAAACGACCGAAAUCUAUGCGACAAACAAAGCACACAAGCAAAACAGGCUAUAAGACUACUGAAACAGGAAAAAAAAAACCAUUUUUAAUGGAUUCUACGCAUUUUUAUGAAUUUACUGAGACUUGAAUGGACUUAAUCGGAGCUCGGAUGAAUUAGAUAUGAAUUUUAGAAGAUUAUCUAUGUUUAUUACUAUAAAAGAAAAGCCUUAAUGAGUUUUAUUACGCAAUAAAGGAUCCCGGAUGACGUCAGCAAAAGGGGGGGGGGGUGGCGCCGACAUGCGGGACCCCCCCCCCGGCAACGGCUCAAGGGGGAGGAGGUGGCACCGGUUGGUGGGUGGGCCCCACCGGGCAGUGGCUCAAGGGGAGGGGGAGACGCCCGGUUGGCUCGGCUCGGCUUCAAACCGGCCAGCCGGUUAGGCGGUGCGGCGGCGGCGAGCGGCCACCGACGGCGGCAACCGGCGGCGCGGGAGACGGCGGUGGCCGGUGAGGAGAUGGCGGCACACGGCCGAAGCGGCGGCGCGGACAGGAGGCAGCGAUGCACACGGGGAAGGGGGAGUAAAAGAGGGGGAGGGAGUCCUCACCGGGGAUUCGGCCGGCGUGGGUGAAGACGACAGCGGACGGCGGCGGCAAACGGCGGACGGCGGGGCGCGCGGGAUGGACGAGACGGGCCUCGAUCUCGCGAGGCCAACGGCGGCAAUGGAGCGGCGCGGCGACGGCACUAGCGACGGCUAGCGGCGGUUGGAGGCGGCGGUAGGCGGCGGCGCGUGGGGAGAGCGGUGCGGCGGCGGCGCGCGGCAAGCAAGCGGCGGUCGGGAUAGCUCCCGCGACGGCGAAGCUAGUGGCGGUGGCGGCUAUAGGGGCGGCGGUGCACGGCCGGAGGCGGCGGCAAGCGGCGGCGCUAGCGGCGAACGGCGCGGCGGCGUUAGAGAGCACGGGAGGAGACGGCUAGCGCGGAAAAAGAGAGAGAGAGAGAGAGAGACAUGGGGAGCGUUUUAUAGGGGCUCGGGAGGGGCGGACGUGGCCGGGGGCGGCCGGAUUUCUCGCCGACGACGUGUGAGGUGGAGAGAGAGAGUUGGGGGGAUUCGAAUUGAAUCUCGCCCUUUCGGGCGCGCGCGUGGGCGGGAGAAGGCGGGGCGUGGGGGCGGCGAUGUGGGGGACGUGUGGGCGCGGAGUGGGGCGCGGAUGUGGAGGAAGCGGCGGCGUGGGCGGCGGUUUCGGCGGCGGCGCUGCCGUCGGCUAGAGGUGGAAGAAGGGGCCGACAGGUGGGCCCCACCUGUCGGUGACCCGUAGAGAGGAGGGAGGGAGUGGGCCGGCCCAGCAAGGAGGAAGGGCGUGGGAGGAAGUGGGCCGACGGCCCAACAAGAGGAAAAAGGGAGGAAAAAGGAAGAAACAGAAGAGAAAAGGAAAAAAAAGGAUUUUCCAGGGAUUAUUUAUUGCACUUUGCUUAUUUUAAUUGGUUAAAAUUAUUUCCAAGGCUCUGAAAAUUCCACUGAAAAUCCUGUUAGCAUAUUUUGACAUGUAGAACCCAAGAAAAAUUCCACAUGCCAAUUCCUAUUAUUAUUUGCAUUUAUUAAUUUAGGGAUUCAACUCUAGGUUAAAUUAAACAAUUUCUUCGGACGAUUUAUUUAACAAAUUUUAAAGCAAGGAGGGGAACUUCAGGGCGUGACAGGCCCCUUAGGAACAAUGAGACAAAAGGGGUUUAUACAGGUUCGGGCCGCUAAGAAGCAUAACACCCUACUCAUGUUCUUGGUUGAUUGAGUAUGGAAUACAGGCACUUGAAUCUGUGAGACCCAAGCGUGAGCUAGCCAAAUAACCGAUCCCUCCCCUUUCUCCCUAAGCAAGGUCCUCCUUUUAUAUCUCAAGGGGCUACCACAUGGGCCUAAAAGUCUACCUAGGGAUCAAGGAGGACAUUCUUUACAUUAACUACAUGUCUUGUUUCUUGACUUGGAAUCCACAUGCACAAGCGCGGUAGCAUGGGGCCCAUCAAAUCGAACCAACUGACACGGGAGACACCCUUGUCAUUCAUCAUUUAAUGGGUGAAGACUUCUGGGUUCGCAUUUGCACCAGGAAAUGGGAACCUUGCUUGACCAGUGCGGAUGAACCGACUCCGGUCGGGAUGCAUCAUGACGUGACGGGGCAUGGCAAGUUACAUGCUGCCUGAUGUGUGAUAAGUGUGCAGGCGCACCACCCCGAUCCCAUCAGUCAUUCGACUGGUCACAGACCGGUCAGGCGCACAGCACGUCGCAUUAAAUGCGGCGUGGCACGCCUUAAAUGCGGUUAGGUGGGCGUUGGGGGCGCCCACCUAACCCCGUACACGUGGCGUCCACACGGAGGGGUUCGGGGCAGCCCGACCCCCAGGCAUGGAGGGGACGGCCACCACCCUACCCUGGGCCCGACCCCUUUCGGGGGAGUGCCACGUGGGUAUUGGGGGCAGCAUCCUCCCUCUAGUCUUGAUACCCCGAGCCCAUAUCACUAACAAAUGACUUAAAAGCUUAUGAUGAAAAAUCACUCUACUGAGAGAGCUAGGAUAUAUUCUGAAACACUAGAGCAAUACGUGUUCGUGAGUUGUAACCUAUAGCUUAUAUUGCUAGAACAAGAAAGGAGUUAACUACAACUUGAGAUAAAAGAAAAGCCAACCAAGGUAUCGACAAGUGCAACAGAUCCAAAGAAGGAAGUGGCACAGCGGUGCGUUCAUAUGCUAUGCCACUGCAGGGUUGAAGGAUGUAACAAGUGGUAAAGCAACACGAAAAGCAAGCGACAACGUAGAAGGAAAGCAAAGGCAAAAUGAGUAUGCCUUUGUUGUGUACACUAUAAAGCUACCGGUCACAAAUGCAUCCUCGGAAAGAAAAGAAGUCUCCCUCCAUGCUGCUGCUUCCUCUUCGCGACUACUCCCACAACUAUAUUCUGACCCUUUCUGAGAUGACAUGCCCCUCUUCCUCCCACUCUUCUCAUCCCGUUGCCAUAGGAUGUGUUCAUGAACAUUUAUUUUCUUGUGUACCUUUGCCCUAUUUUUCUGUCAUCGUUAACUUACAAACCAUGGAUUGCCUUCUGCUUUGUGUUUGAAAGUGAAUCUAGCCCCCUCCCCCCACCCUCUCCCAAUUGACCUUGGUGGCUAACGACAACACACUAGAAAACUCUGAUGCAAUUGUCAAGGGUGUGUUUGGUUGGUGGAAUAUAUCCGGAUAGAACAUGGCCGCAAGUUUUUUUUGGUUGUUUGGUUGAUAGAUAGAAGUGGGAUAUUGCCACCCGGCAGAGAAUAUUCUAUGUAGAUGUUGGAUAUGCAGCUCCAGGCAAAUCGGCCGGAUCCCACAUCCCGAAGUGGGAUGAGUCGCACGACUCUGGACUCGCGCGUGCGCUCACCUCUGCCCCAAUAUUUUAUCCAUGUCACUCGCUUCCUCACCGCAUCAACUGUAGCCACAAUCUACUUCUUCCCUUCUUCCGGUGGCACAGGGGGCAGCACUAGACGGCGCAGGGGCAAUGUAAGUGGCGGCUGUCGAGGGCGCUCGGCGGAGCAUGGCACCGCUGGACAGCGCUGGGGCGUUGUGGGCGGCGGAGCACGAGCGACGCAAGUGGCAGAGACCACGGAGUAGUAGCAGCCAGCAGGUCGCGCGCUCGGCCGUCGAGGUGGCGUAUGCCAACAGGCAAUAGCAGGUCCUCCGUAGCCCUUUGCCGCCAUUCUGGUGCCCGGGUUCAGGAGCCUGGUGAUGAGCAGUUCAAUGUCUUCUUCUUGUUUUUUUUAUAUUGGUUCAGAACUUCAGAUCUGAUGUUUUUUUAGGAUUGGGAUGGUUUUUGUUAUGUUCUGUGUAGAUCUCCGUGUAUAAUCUGAUGGUGUAUUAGAUUUUGAUAUAUGUGUGCAGGGUGAAUUUUACAGAGUGAAAAUGUUAUCAUUUAUAAAUAGUGGCUAAAAUUAAUUUACAACAUGAUAAAUAUUACUCACAAUACAUGCAACAAGCAUACAUAUGCAUCAAGAUGAAAUUGUUUGCCAAUGGGGGUAUUCUCCACCAUCUUAUCCAGUGGUAACCAUAACAGUCCAUCCAUCCUACCAAACAAAAAAAUUGACUCACCAUAUCCACAUGUCAUCCCUCCAACCAAACAAAAAUCUUGUUUAUUCCACUCUCCUUACCAAACAUAAAAUUGGAUGGCCAUAUCCCAUCCAUGCAUGACCACCAACCAAACACACCCUAAGUGCAUGCAAGACUAAAGGCAUCCCUGUGGUUUGAUUCAAGAAAAAAUGACUAUUAAUUGAUGUAUUGCUCUAUUUUUCUUGUGUUUAGGAUGCCACACUAUUAAGAGGGAUAUGAUAUACAUAUAAUUGGAGUAAACAAUAGUACUCAAACCAUAUUUUUCUUCCAAGUGUUUGUUUAGUUAUGGUCAAAGUGAAGCAUGUAGGCCUACGUUGUUAAUUUUGGUAAUUAAUAUUAAGCACUAAUUGUGGACUAACUAUUUUAUUUGAGUGAGAUAAUUUAAGAGAGGGCCACAUGAUGUGUAUACCAAGAAUGAUUACCGGCUACCGCAGAUUAAAAUUGAUAGUGCAAAGCAAUGAGAGGAAGGUGAUAAAUAUGGUUAUGUUUUUAACGAUCGAAGCGUUGGGUGAUCAAUUUGCUAGGUUUUCUUUAUAGCUUUACCGUACUAUUUAGAGGGGGUGGUAAUCUUGACAAAGAGGUGAUCUAAAUAACACAUUAGUGCAUGCAUGAGGGUUUCUUGUAUCUUUGGCUUUGAUCUUUAUUUCUAGAGCUAGCCGGUCGGACUGAGCCUAUCCAGUACCGUUUUGGUGUUGCAACGAUAGCAUCGGGCAAAUUGUCUUGGUACAGAGCAUUCGUCGUGCACGACGAACAAUGCCGGUCAGACCAAGCCUGGGAGGCUAGGAGCUGGUCGGAUCGGGCCCAUUAGUUGGUCAGACCUGUGAAAGUCCCAAAUUGCUUGGUAGCACGGAGGCCACGGUUGGUCGGACCAGCCCUUCGCCAGCGGUCUAAUGGCCAUUGCAUUUAUUGCACCCCCAACAUAUAGAUUUUGAACUAGUUUCAGGGCGGCUAGCCGUUUAGAUUGGGCCCCUCAAUGGUGGUCGGACCAAUAGAGCACAGAGUUGGGGGAUUUUGACCCCCAAAGACUAGUUUUGGUGGGUUGGGCUAUAAAUACCCCCCCCCCAACCAGCAGGAGGGGAACUUCCUAGGCACUUCAUUCAAUUCACUAGAGCCCUUGCAACACUCUGACACCAGUUAAGCACAUUUCUCUCGAUUUGUAGGUGUUUCAAGAGUUGAUUAAGACAAUACAAGUGCAUUGCAUCUUUGCUAGAUCUUUUAUGCAGUUGCUCAUCUCUGAGCUUUGGUUGCGACUUUUUACUCUUGGAGGUUACCACCUCCUAGACGGCUUGGAGGAAUUGUGGCCCGGUGAUCCCUCCGGUGAAGCUUGUGGAGGUGACCUGGUGUUGUUUGUGCAUGGUUUGGACCUACGAAGUGGAGGAAGAAUUACCGGCUCCCGCCUUGCCCAUCCAUUUACGAAGGGGUUCGAAGGCUUCGUGGUGUGAGCGAUGAGGUUGGGCUCACCUCAAAGGUGACAUAGGAAGCUAGCAAGCUUCCGAACAUCAGGUGAAAAAUUCGGUUGUCUCUUCUCCACGAUUCACAUUUCUAGAGAUAAUUUUAGCCCAAAUCGUCCUAGGCUUGCAAAACAUAAUUUAGUUAGUUAGCGUGUGAUCCCUAAAACAAGCCUAGUGUCAUGCCUUGAUUUUCUUGCAGGGAUUUAAAAAUCAUUAAGUAAUUUAUUUAUAUAAUUUAUUUUAAAAUGUGAAUCAAUUUACAAGUGCGUCUUGCUACCUCUAUGGACUUAGUCCACUGUAGGUCACCCUCCCUU